rnacentral:lncRNA from 1 species
AGUUAAAACCUCAUUUGGUAUUAUCAUCGUUAUUAUUCUAUUUUUCUAAACAUAAUUUUUAUAUAAAAUAAUGUAAAAAGAAUUGUGGAUUGCUUGCAUUUCUUACAUUCAAACUAUUUGUUUAAUAGUAAAAAAUAAAAAUUUAAAGGUAAUUUUUUUUUUACUUUUUAGAAUUUUGUCGAUAAAUAUUCAUCUAUCACUUUGUUGGAGUGCAUUACAAACUAGUUAAUUAUAAAAAUAAUAAGAAAAAUUAUUUUACUAAUAUAUUAAAAUAUAUAUAUAUAUAUAGUGUUUAAAAACUAAUAAAAAUAAAAAACAUUGAUUCCAAAUAAGGCUUAAGAGAGUAAAUUAUAACAGUUAAAGUUGAGGGGGCUUCUUCAAAAUUGAGUAUAGUUGAGGGGUUCUCCAUACAUUCUCACAACAAUGAUAUUAUAGUAAAAAUAAUUAAGAAUAAUUAAGAAAUUGACCCCCAAACACCCAUUGUCAGUAGUGUUAGAUGCCAUGCACUAAGUUAAAGUAUAGUGAGAAAAUUUAGGUGUAAUCAAUGUUCUACUCACUGAUGUUGACCACAGAAGAUGUGGGAAUCCCCACAAAUCCAUUCAUACAAGAAUAAUAUAAUAUUAUUAGAAUAAUUUUUUAUCUUUCACGCAUAAAAAAUUUACUAAUUUUUUUAUCCCAUAUAAAAUAAAUAAAUAAAUAAAUAAUGUAAAUAUCUUUGAGAGAGUGUAAUUUUUGUUUAAAGAAUAUAACUUUCAUCUUGAAAGAUGCAAUUUAUAUCUUAAAUAGUGCAAUUUAUGUGCAUAAUAGUAUAAUAUUUUUUUAAAAUAGUGUAAUUUUAUCUUAAAACUAUAAUUUUAUAUUUUUCUUCCUUCUUCUCUGAUUUUCUUCAUUAUUCUUUAAUUUUUGGCAUUUGGUUUUUUUUUUUGUUUUAAACAAACAAAAGUGCUCCGAUAUCACUGAGGCCGCGCUCGUCGCCGCCCUCUCGGUUAGGCGGGUAGGCCGGGUGGCCCCUCCCUUGCCAGCAAGUUCUCUGCGCCGAGAAGCGCUUCCUCUUUGUUGUCGGCGGCGGUGAUGUGGACGGCAAGUUUCCAGAAGUGAUUUUAGUGGGCACAAAAUCUACCGCAGUAGAGGUGGAAGGCGAAAGCGAAGGCAGAGGAAGAUAACGCAUUACCGUCCUCGUUACCAUCGCGAAGGACCACGGAGGCGGUAGAGGAGUAUCGGAGAGAAAAAAAGAAAGUAGUAGUGCGGCCUCGGCAGGGUUGGAGGCGAGAGGACGAGAGGUGCAGGCGCAGUGUAGUAACCCUGGAAUUCAGCAUUUGAGACUUAUCGACAGCUCUGAAGAAUGUUGGGACAAGUCCGAGUACUGUUUGCGUGAAAUAGACGCAAACUGGACUCAGCGGGACGCGAGAGCAGAGAGUUAGCAUUGCAAUCUGCAAAUUGCAGAUUUCCAGCAAUUGGUACCAGUACCACACAGGGGCGUAUCGGUACCCAGUGCAUUUUUCUGCGCAGACUACUCUCGGGUUGCCCAUUCUGCUACAGCGUACCGGUACAACAUUGGACUGGUACCAGUACUCCAGGGUAGGUGAGGGGUUGUUUGGUCUUUUGGCUACCUCGUUGUUUUCACCCUCUCUCCUACUCCUUCAUAUACAUGUAGAGAGACUGAGGGAAGGUUUUGCAUGUUCUCUCCUUCUUUCUCUCUCUAGUUCUUGAGCCGUACGUGGAGGAGGCCUCGGGUGGAGUCAGAGCGACGUCGACGUUGCGCCGCGGUGCCGUUCGAGCGUGCGUUCGUCGUGAUAGCGCCGUUAGGAGGCCGGGCGAGCGUGUGGUUCUGCUUCUAUCGACUUCUUGCCGGAUUUAGAAUAGCUUUCGAGGUGGGUCAAAGUGAUGCGUACCGGAUUUCGCGGAUUUUCCUCAUAAUUCUAUAUGUUGACAGCAUGUGUUUUUAGCUUCGUUUAGCAUAUUGUUUAGCUCGAUUCUUAGAUUUGCAUGUUAUUGAUCGUGAAUUGGAGCUUAGAAUACUAUCUAAAUUAUACAUGUUGGACUUAAUUUUGACUUAGGAAAAAACUGGCGUUUCUAUACUGUCAUAUGUUAAAACUACCAGAUUUAGCUCUAAGAGCCGUAAUUUAUUUGUAUCGCCGCAGUUUGUAGACGGUAGAUACCCAGAAUAGUGUAGAAUAUAUUUACGCUCGUGCUGAAGUGCCGAGUGUAUUUUUACAGCAGUGUUUAGGCUGUUCCGGAUUGUCGGGUACCGUUGGGGUUGACGGUAGACCCAGAUUGCUGUUUUUGCAUCAGAUUGUGCCGAGGGCACGUGAGUUCAGUUGUUAGACUCUGUUUACUUGACUAUAGCCUGUGAGAGCCUGAUUGAGCUCGACAGAGACACGUUUGAAUACUCGGUUGGGUAGCGCCCACGAGUGCCACUCCGGAGUCGGGCCUUGUGCUUUUGCGUUGGUGUCGUUUUGUCCUGGUUGAACUUGCUCUCCACUGAUGACCGGUUUGGUGUCAAUUAGUGUAGCUUCGACAGACGGGACGGGUGUGUUCACAGUCCCUAAUGAGAUUCGAUCAGGAUUUACAUUUUCUACAGAUUGUUGUGUUAGAGCAUGAUAGUAAGUGGCAUUUAGCUGUAGAUUUGUUCUAGCUUUUCUUACUAUCCCUGCUUACUUCUGUAAACUUAGUGGGUGAGCCGUUGAGGUCGGUAGCGGUACCCACUAAGGACUACUUCUUUUUGCAGUAGUUCUCACACCCAGUUGUUGAAACCUUUUGCAGAGCCAUCUUCUUCGGCUGCUACUGCUGCUGAGUCUGAUCGUGGAAAGGGCGUGGCGAGUUAGAGCCCUUCCUGACGAGUUGUAGAGCUAGAGAAGCACCAGCUACAUAUAGUUGUAGUUUUUGGGUUAUUAUACAUACUGAUGCUUGUAUCUCGCUGGAGCGAGUAUUUUGUUUACCUGGAUGUAAUGUAUGUAUAGUGAAUCUCUAAUGUUUAUAUAUGUUUUUAUUUCGACAGGUCUAUAUUACUAGUUGUAGUGUUGUGUGAUUACAAGUACAAGUACAGCUAUCGCUUCGUAUACAGGAAAAAUUUCUUUGUAUACGGCGGAUUUGUCGGCGUGCCCGGAGAAAACGAGUAAUCCGGGGCGUGAUACGCGGUUGAAGGCGAGAGUGCGUAGGGCAGAGGCGAGGCGAGGCGGGUAGCCUCCACCUCCGCUGCCCUCCGGAUAAAAAAAAAACGAGAUAAAAAAAAAAGAGAAAAAGGAAUGAGGUAGUUUGGUCAGUUUUUAAUCUACAAUAUUUAUUUGACAACAAAAAGCAGAAAUUAUAAGGGUUUUUUUGUUUCUAUGAUUUUAAACAAUUUUAUUUUGAAUCAAAUGUGCCCUAAAUAUAUUAAUUGGUGUUUGAAAAAUAAUAAAAUAACAACAAAACCGCAAAUAACUACUCAUAUACUUGUAGAUUACGCGUCAAUUUUAUACCUCAGUCAUCUAAAAAUUAUUAUAUUUGAACUUAGUUUAGGAACUUUUUUAAUAUUAAAAAUCCAAAACUAUUUUGUGACCUCAAAUACGGGAGAGAUGUAAGAUUUAUAUCUAUAUAAAUGAAAAUCGACUAAUACGGGAUAAAGUACACUUUUGGUCCUCAAACUAUGACGCGCUUGACACUAUAUCCCUAAAAACUUUAAUUUGUCAUAAUUUUUAGUUUACAUUUUUUAAAUUAUAAUAGUUAAGUCUCACGGGUUAAUUUUAAUGGCUAAAUAUUAACAAAUUAUUAAUAUAAAAAUGGUAUAAUAUCUAUGGGUUAAUUGCAUAUAGCUCCUUGUAAACAUAUCGAAAAGUAAUUCAAGGGCGGAGCCAUUGAGGUGCCCCCCAAUUUUUUAAAAUUACAUAAAAGUCCUUUAGAAUAAAAAUUAAAAUAUUAUAAAUUUUAAUUUUAGGGGGCCAAAUUAAUUUUUUUUAAUAAAAUCUAUGUCUUAAAAUUUUUUUUCGAAUUUCACUAUUACAGUUUUGUUCCUCUUUGAGCAUAUUGUCGUUAUUUUUGCUAGUAAUAACUAAUUAGUGAAUCCGAUAAAUUUUUUUCUUAUUAUUCGAGGUCGAAUUUUUUUCCUAUCAAAUCUAAAUCUUGACCCUUCUGAAUCUUUAUUUCUGGCUUCGUCCCCGAAGUAAUUAUAUGUAUAUAAAGUUCAACUUUUUAUUUUUGUCCCUUUAAAAUUUUUACCGUUUUCAAAUAUACCUGUGCUGUUAAAAUCCGUUAGCAAAAUAUAAUCAACCAUAAGUAAAAUACUUGACCCUGAUUAGUGAAUGAAUUAAAUUGACAUUUUUAUCCCUCUUAUAUUAUUGGGUAAAAUACUUUUUUUGGAAGGAUCUUUGUUUUUAAUCCUAACAAUUGAGUUUUUGAAAGAAUAUAUUUAUAAGGAUAAAAAUAUCAUUUUACUUAAUUGCUAUUAAAAAAUAAACAGUAUUCUAACGGUAACAAACUAGAGGAGCAAAUACGAAUAUCACUUAACUUUUGUAGGGAUAAAAAUAAAAAAAUUAAACUUUGUAGGAAUAUAUUUACUAUUCGAUAUGAUUAUAGGGGACUGUAUGAAAUUAACCCUAAUAUUUAAAUUAUUAUCUUGUCUUCAUUUUUCAUUACUAUUAUUUUAAUAACUUUUUAAUAUUUAGUCAAUUAAAUUAAAUUAUAAGUUGAUUAUAAUAAUUUAGAAAGUACAAGUUAUAAUGUAAAUUAAUAUUUAAGAAUUAUAUUGUAGACAGUGUGAUAGUUUAAGGAACCAAAGUGUGGUCCAAGUUCAAAACCCUAGCUUCGCGUUCCUUCUCCUUUUGGCGCCAAACCUUCCCGCCCAUUAAUAAGUUUCACGAACCGGGGUUUUUCGCCCCCAAAUCCCCAAUUGCUCAAUCGAGCUCGAUAUCGAGAGAGAGAGAGAGAGAGAGAGAGAAUGGCGGAGUCUACAAGCGCCGCCGCUGGGCGGAGGCGGCGGCGCGCUCCGCCGCUCUGGAGCGUCUCAGGGCCCUCCGCCGCCGUUCCGAUCUCUCCGGCGACGCCGCCGCCUCCGCCGCCGCCCCCCUCCAGGCGAAGAUGGAGGCCCCGAUCUACGACACUGUCGCCGAGGAGGACUACGCCGCCCUCGUCGCUCGCCGCCGCGCCGACGCCCAAGGCUUCAUCGUCGACGACGAUGGGCUCGGCUACGCCGACGAGGGCCAGGAGGAGGACUGGUCCCACCCCAGCCUCCCCCUCUCCUCCGACGAGGAUGGCGGCGACGGCAUGUCGGACGCUGACGCAGACGAUCACCGCAACAGGCGGCGGCGGCGAAAGCCGUCGUCCUCCGCUGCCAAGGACCCCGCGGCGGCGGCGGCAGCGGCUAAGAAGCACCCGCCAUCGUCGCUCUCGGCGGCGGCCGCGAUGAUGGGGAAGCAGCGCCUCUCUGCGAUGUUCACCUCGUCCGUGUUCAAGAAGAGCGAUCGGGGGAAGGGAGGGCCGGCUGCAUCGUCGGCAGAUAGCAUCGUGGAUGACGUCAUUGCAGAAUUUGCCCCUGAUGAGAACGAUCGGGAGGAGCGGCGGCGGCGAUCUCUUGCCCACCAUGGGGUUCGGAGCUUGAUGGUGCUACCUCCCCUGUCGGAGAUUCGGAUUAAGAGUGAGGUUCCGCCUUUUACCCCCACAGAUCAUGCUAUUACUGUUGGAAACCCUAAUUCAGAUGUGAAUGGAGUUGAAUUGGAGAAUGGUUUCCACGGAAAUGGUGAUUUCGGUCAAGGAGAUGAUCCAAUUACCGAAAUUAAAGAAGAGAAAGCUGCGGAUCCUCAGAUUGAAUCAAGCAACAAGGGUUUAGAUGAGGUAAAAUCUGAUGAAAAUGGAGAAUUAAGGGCCGAAGAGGGGAAGAUUGGGAAGGGGCACUCUCUUAAUGCAAAGAUUAAGGUGGAAGCAGAUAAAAAUGUGGCAAGUGCUACAGAUGGUUGGAAGGCGAUAUGUGGCGAAGAGGAUAACGCCCAAAGUGAUGGACAGGUGAUUGAAUUGAAUGCCAAUGCCGAUGAGAACUCAGAGUUUAUACUGGAUUCUGAUGGAUCACUACCUUUCUAUAUAAUUGAUGCAUAUGAGGAGGCAUUUGGGGCUAAUCCUGGUACUCUCUAUUUAUUUGGAAAGGUUAUGAUUCUUUCCUCCCCUAUCCUUGUAUUAUCUUAAAUCAUGCUUAUGGCAGUUGAGUGUUAAUUUUACGAAGCUGACAUACAAGUGGCAGCUUUAAUCCUGUGCAAUGGCAGAAACGCACAACAAGGACAUAUAAUCACCUCUUAUGUAAAUCCUUUAAAAUUAAAGCUAAAAAAAGAUAACCUAAAUAACUAUAAAAGUACAGUGGGUAAUAAAAGUAUAGAAAAUUUGAUAACUUCAAUAUGUUAAGCACCAAUGUUUAUUGUUAUGGGGUGGUCCCACAAGUUCAUCGGUGACCAGUUUUUGUAUGCUAGGAAUUAGUAUAAAUGAUCAAUACUUGAUUUCUGGAUAAAAAUUAAGACGUCUGAAUUUAAUCUUGUACAGAAUUAGAUAUCAUUGGAUGCAUGAAUAUAAAGAUGAAAUAGAUGUUGGAUUAAUCUAAAUGUUUGUAAAUUGGCUAGUGCAAAUGUAAAAUGAACAAAAUUACAGACUCUAAUUAUAGGUAAGAAAGAAGUAGAUCCAUUCUCAAUUCUACUUUGUAAAUUGGUUAUGCUUGGAAAUGACAAUAGCUUAUUCAUCUGAUUUGAGAAGUUUUUCCAACUGUCAGGUGAAAGCAGGCAGUGCAUAUCAAAGUUGCUGUGUAGUCGUGAAGAAUAUGCAAAGAUGUGUCUAUGCUAUCCCAAAAGGUAGUGUAUUCCCAAGCAAUGCUAUCUCAGAGAUUGAAAGGAGCGCCACAGAUGCUCAUAAUUCAACAGCAUCAUUUCGGGCAAAUCUGCAAGUACGCUUAAAAUUCUCUAGGGCACUCUCUAAGUAUCCUGCUUCAUUUUUAUGAUGCGCAUGAAGUCUUAUGCAUUUUAUACCCUUUUCUAGGAGAUGGCAUCAAGAUUAAAGAAUGAGAUAGCAAAUAGAUUGUCGGAUUUCAAUGCAUCCACUUUUGUCAUGACGCCAGUUAAGGUUUGUAAGACUCUGUGCUUACUACUUGAUCAAAGGCUAUGGCACUUCUAUCAUUUAAUUACUCUUGUUUGCUUUUACAUUGAUUUUUUUUUUUGUUUUGUUUUGGGUCAUACUUGGUAUGCUUUAGAGGAAGUAUGCAUUUGAGAGGUCUGAUUUGUCCACUGGAGAGCAGUAUGUUCUCAAGAUUAACUAUCCAUACAAGGUAUACAAGCUACAACUAGACUUUGUUAUUGCACCUAUAUUUGCUCCUCUAUCAGUCUAUCUUCCUUACUAAAAAUCCAGCUUAAAAUGAAGGUUACCCAUGCCUCAUCUAAUAAACAACCAUUUAUUCUUCAGUAAAAUAUGAUGAUACUUUGUUCUGAUUUGAUGAUUAAACAUAAGGUGUUCUCAUUGUUUUCAAUUUUUAAGUAUUCAGACUACAUGGCUUUUAACAGGAUCCGCCACUUCCAGCAGACCUUAAAGGAAAACAUUUCCUUGCAUUACUUGGGACACACACCAGGUAUGAUAACUCAUGGUCAUUUGAGCCACACUUUUACAUAUGCAUGUAAUUGCCAUGAACUUUAUGCAGCAGAAACUAGCAGAAAUUUAUUUUCUGUCAUUUGAACUGAUAUGUCCUUGUAGAGAAUCAGAACAUCAACCCGUCUCAAUAUUUGAGGCCUUGGUGCAGCAUGUAUUAUGCUUGUGGCUGGUCGUCAACACCAAUGUGACACAGCAAAUAAAUCUAUGAUUAUGUCAUUGACAGCUAUAUGGCAGUCUUCAACUGAAAAACCUUAAUCUAAAAGAUAGGUUUACCUCUUAUAUGUAAGAAUUUUGUAUGCCCUGGCAAAUUCUACUCUGCAAUUCUUUUUUCUUCGUACUCCUGCUGCAUGCGAAUAUAUUGGUGAAGUGUUUAAUUAUUGAAGUUAUUGUUCAGCUAUAAUUAAGGAUCUAGUUAUGUCUCGUAAUUUCCUGGUCGUCAGGUUUAUUAUUUGCAGACAAUCCAGUUGAUAAUGACCAAUUAUUAAAUUCAAUAUAAUGGAUCAUGGGAAUAAAUAGACAGGCAUUUUGAAUGCGACAUUUUCUGUUUAUAAAGGAAAACAUGAACGAAAGUUAUACUUAUUUCAUGGUUUAUUCAGGCAGAAAGAAUAACCCUAUUUUUUUCUUUCCAGUGCUCUUGAAAUGUUUCUAAUCAAAAGGAAAAUAAAGGGACCGUCCUGGCUCUCUAUUUCCAAAUUUGUGACCUGUCCAGCCACUCAAAGGGUACAAUCUUCGGCUCAUUUGAUAGUACUUGUGAUUUUGCAUACUGUUAAUCUGCUGUAUUAUCUGUCAACUCAAUCAUAUUACAUUCCCUUGGUUGGCUUGGAACAGGUCAGCUGGUGCAAAUCUGAGAUAGUUGUUGACUGUCCCAAGGAUAUAUCUAUUUCUACUUCAAAGUCAUUGCUGGAAAUUCCUACUGUCGUUGUUGCAGCUAUCAAUCUGAAAACAACCAUAAACCCAAAGCACAAUAUAAAUGAGAUUGUCUCAGCUUCAGUUAUCUGCUGCCACAAGGCAAAAGUAAGUGAGACUGUUUAGAUAACCUGUUCUAGAAACCUUCCCUUUUGUUUGGGUCAUUGCACAGGAUAUAAAGUCAUAUGUAUUCUGUUCUUGUAAAUUUAAGUAUCGUUAGUUGGUUGAGUUUGUUUUUGCAUUUGUAGAAUAGUAUUGAAUUUUACUCAUUCGCAUAUUGAUUGUGUUUUGAUAAAUUUUCAGAUUGAUGGCCCCAUGGUGGCUUCAGAAUGGAAGAGAAGGGGUAUGCUCACCCAUUUUACUGUUGUUCGCAAGCUUGAAGGGGGAAUAUUUCCGAUGGGUCUAACAAAGGAGGUUUCAGAUAGAAAUUCCAAGGCUGGAACAAAUGUACUGGCAUUAGAAAGCAGGUGGACUACUGUACUGUUCUUAAUUUUUUUGGAACUUUUGUACCUUUGAAAUCUUAAAAUGUUGUGUUUCCCCUGCUUUGCAUAUAUAAAAGCAUUAGCUUUUAAACCUCUCGCAGUGAACGCGCGUUGCUAAAUCGAUUGAUGAUUGAAAUGCACAAAUUAGACUGUGAUGUUCUUGUUGGACACAAUAUUUCUGGGUUUGACCUUGAUGUUCUUCUCCACCGAGCUCAGGUUUGACUCUUUCAUCAAGCUUAAUAUAUCCGGUCUGGCAGGCUAAAAUGUGCAUCCUCCAACUAUAGGUGAUUUGCAAAUAGUUCCACGAUCUUUAUUCUUUUGGAUUAUAACUCCCGACUAUUGUACAAUUUGAUUCCGGAACUAGAUGGAUUAUCAAGGGUCUCAAUUCCAUCUGAAUUUAAUGGUCUAUAUCCAUUAAAUCUUCUGACCUUUACCAAAAUCAGAAGAUGUUUUAGUUAGGGUGUCAAAAUCCAGAAGAUACAAUUUAGGAACCUGUUCCCAAAUCACCUACUGUUAUGUUGUGGGGUUUUGGAGGGGGUGGGGGUUGUUCCAUAUAUGUAAGUUAUGAUUGAUAUUGAUAGUGAGGAUGAUAGCAGACAUAGUUUCAACCAACCUCCUCCAUUUCAACCUUAAGACUAUUUACUCUUCAGUUAAUUAUAUAUGAUGCAUUUUUUCCCUUUUAAUGCAGGCUUGCAAAGUGCCAAGCAGUAUGUGGUCCAAGAUUGGCCGUCUUAAGCGCUCUGUAAUGCCGAAGCUCAACAAAGGAAGUGGCAUUUAUGGUUCCGGAGCUAGUCCAGGAAUUAUGUCUUGUAUUGCAGGCCGUCUACUAUGUGACACCUAUUUGUGCUCACGAGAUCUGUUGAAAGAGGUAUGUUGAGUUUCUAUGUACAUACUGUUUGAAUUUCUUAUUAAUACCAACUUUCUAACUCAUUUUGUCUAUUUAGGUAAGUUAUUCUUUGACCCAGCUUGCAAAGACGCAGCUGAACAAAGACCGGAAGGAGAUCUCUCCGCAUGAUAUCCCUUCCUUGUUCCAGUCUUCUGGGACUCUUCUUGAAUUGGUAGGUUUUACUGCGAUAAAAACGUUCUUUAUGUACCUUUUCAGUUUAUUUAGAUUUCUGUUAGGGUUAAAAGAACAAACCCACUUAGUUUUUCUAAAUUGCUGUUUCACUCAUAAACUUUAAUUUGGUGCACAAACAGACCCACUAACUUUAUUCCCAUUGCAAUUUUGCCUACAAAGUUUUGAUUUAGGAUGGAAAACUGAGUAUCAAUGUGAGUAAACAUAAUAUGGUUGAAAAAAACCAAAUUCUACCUGCUAAAGUUCAAUUCGGUAAAACAAAAUAAAUCAUAUCAUCAGGAAGAUAAGUUUGGUUUGCACAUCAUGGACCGAAUUGCAACUGAAAAGAGCAGUGGGAUUUGUUGCACCAAAUUAAUUUAACGGAUCAAAUUGCAAUUUGGAGAAUUGUUCUAUGUUUUUAUGAUUUUAACCAUUUCUAUUAUAUGCUUACAGCUCAAUGAUGCUUCCCUUAAAUUUCAACUGCGUGUUCUUUUCCUUUAUGAAAGUAGGUUGAAUACGGUGAGACUGAUGCCUGGCUCUCUCUUGAACUGAUGUUUCAUUUGAGUGUUCUUCCCCUUACUCGGCAAUUAACUAAUAUCAGCGGGAAUCUUUGGGGAAAAACUCUUCAGGUAAAUGCCAUUAUGUGGAUUCAUUUCUACUCAAUACUCUCAUAAUUCAACCAGUGUAUCAUUUACUAUUUCAAGUAUCUUUAGGGUGCUAGAGCUCAACGAGUGGAAUACCUGCUAUUGCAUGCCUUUCAUGCAAAGAAGUUCAUAGUGCCAGACAAGAUUCCUGCACGCAAUAAAGAGCCAAACUCAGCCAAGCGAAAAAUGAAUACUGAUGCAGAUGUUGCGGAUGUGGAUGAGCUAAAUGUAAAUGAUAUCUCUCUUGAUAAUGAUGCACAACAUCUGGAUCAAGGGAAAGGGAAAAAGGGUCCUUCAUACUCUGGUGGCUUGGUUUUGGAACCCAAAAAGGGCUUAUAUGACAAGUAUAUACUGCUACUGGACUUCAACAGCCUAUAUCCUUCAAUUAUUCAGGUAUUAGAGCUUUCCAAUGUCCGUGUCCUUAUUGCUUUAAGGUUUGCUGAUUUUCUUAGUGUGUUACUUAUGAUUAAUAAUUGGCAUGCUUUAUAUUCAUCAGCUGCUUCGUUGUGCUUUUCUUUUAACAGGAGUACAAUAUUUGCUUCACUACAGUUGAACGAUCUUAUGAUGGCCUUGUUCCUAGUUUACCAUCUUCAAAAACUACUGGAGUUUUACCUGAGGUAUCUUUCCAAUAGUUUAGUAGUAAGAUGGAGAAUCAAUUUGUAGUUGCUAGACAUGUUUUACUGCCAGUAAUUUUGCUGUUGAUUUUUGUAGAAUACUUGGACUUAAUUUCUUGUUUUGAUAACCUUUAUGUUGCAUAUUUCAUCUGAUGUAUUUGACCCUGCAGUUGUUGAGGAAUUUGGUUGAGAGAAGAAGAAUGGUUAAGUCAUGGCUGAAGACAGCUACUGGUCUCAAAGUUCAGCAACUUGAUAUUCAACAACAGGCACUGAAGCUCACUGCCAAUAGGUAAUGAUUGUUGCUGCACAUUCCAUUUUUUUUUUACUUGUACAGAAGUUCACAUCUAUACGCCUGAAAAAUCUGAAUAUUCCUAGGUACAGAUUGAUGUAUGUACCUGAAAAAUUGCAUAUAUGCCCAUACUUACAACUACGCCCCUCUUUAAAAGAUCUUUUUCUAAUGGAUAAGGACCCAACCAUUGGGUAUUUUUGUAGGAAACUGUGCUUUUGAGGUACAUAAAUAUACUUCAGCUUCUGCAGGAGUAUACAUGUAAAUAGUUAUUUUGCAGGGAUAUAUGUUAAUUUACCCUUUAAUAACAGCUAACACAUUCUUUUGUCAUUUGUUUUCAGCAUGUAUGGCUGCUUGGGCUUUUCCAAUUCUAGGUUUUAUGCAAAGCAACUUGCAGAGCUCAUAACUUCACAAGUGAGGAGAAACUUCAAUUUCCUAAACUCCAUAUGGAAGAGUACUACUAAACAUGUAUAAUAGCUUAAAUAAACGUAUCUAAGCAAUCCUUAGAUGCUUUUUGCAGGGAAGAGAAAUCUUGCAAAGUACUGUGGACUUGGUUCAGAAUAACUUAAAUUUGGAGGUACUUUGGCAAAUUUUACUGUUCUAAUGUCAUUAUUCUGAUGUCAUUGUUAAUUAAGGUGAUUGAUGAAUAACAAAAUUCUUGCUAUAAGCACCUAGUGGGUCUUCUUUUCUCUCAAGGUUUCAAACUCCUAGUUGUUCCCACUGCAUCCAACAGCCUCAUUUUUUUUUGCGUGCUAAAUUCUGUUACACAUCGUUGAUAUUCUUAGGAAUUAAUUAGUAAUUUUGAACUGUUGCUUGUUAACCUGUGUGAUAAAUUAAUGCAGAUGUGAGUUUGAAUGAACUUUUUUGGUUCAUUAUUUUAUUUGGGUUGUUGGGCAGGUAAUUUAUGGCGAUACAGAUUCGAUUAUGAUCUACAGUGGGUUGGAUGACAUUUCUAAGGCAAAAGCUAUUGCUGGAAAGGUCAUUCAGGAGGUAACGCUUCUCCCUAAGUGAUUAUUAUUAUUAUUAAAAUUAUUAGAUGUUUAUCUUAUCUUCAUAUCACUUUCGAAGGAGUUUAACAUUUGGAAGAGGAAAGUAAGUUCAUAUCAAAUGCAUGAUACGUUGAAUUUUUGUGAACUUCUGAUGCAGGUCAAUAAAAAAUACCGUUGCCUAGAGAUUGAUCUUGACGGCCUCUACAAAAGAAUGCUUCUUCUCAAAAAGAAGAAAUAUGCUGCUGUCAAAGUGCUUUUCAAAGAUGGAACACCAUAUGAGGUGACGCUGAUUACACUUUUGGUCCAUAAUGGCGUUCAAAUGAACAUGUCUCACAUUGUAUUUGGCGCAGGUCAUUGAGCGAAAGGGUCUUGAUAUGGUCCGUCGAGACUGGAGUUUACUAUCUAAAGAAACAGGCGAUUAUUGCCUCAGCCAGAUAUUAUCAGGAGGGUAGGCAUUUGCUUUUAUGUAAUCCAAGUUAAGGGGAAAAAAGAGCAAUUUCCAAUUUAUCUCUUCCAGUUUGGAUAUGACUUUCCAAUUUAUACAGGACAUGUGAGGAUGUCGUGGAGGCAAUCCAUAGUUCUCUUAUGAAGGUCGGAAUGCAUGUUUUUAAAAUCCGUCUUCAAAUUCUUACAGUUUCUAUUUCUAAUUUGAAAUGUUUUGUUUCCAGUGGUUUAUAUGUCUGUCAUAGUUGUAUAUUAAUUUUGGGGCAUUAAUGUGUAUACAUACGCCUAUCAAAUCUUCCAAAAGUAUACCCACAUAAUACUCCUGCAUUUUCUUAGACCCCCAUUGGAAAACCAUUAUUUUAAAUUGAGUCAUCAAAUUCUUAUGACUUUUUAUUUGACAACAUUUUCUAUUAGUAGCACCUUUGCAAGCACAGGGUAUAUUUAUGUACGAAAUUAAAUUUUUUUAAGGGUAUAUUUUGAAAAUUCAUUUUGCCCUGGAAGUGUGGGGGUGUGUAUGUGUUAUAUACAUGUCGUUAUAUGGGUAUACAUGUUUUCUUACUUUUUUGUUGGGAAUUUUCAAUCUUUUAUAUGGCAACAUGCUCUUCUCUGUAUAUAUAUACAGGUACAAGAGGAAAUGAGGAAUGGCGAAAUAGCACUUGAGAAAUAUGUUAUCACAAAGUCCCUAACAAAACCACCUGAGGACUAUCCAGAUGCCAAAAACCAGCCUCAUGUCCAGGUCAAACCUGUUCUAUACUUAAUAUUAUUGAUGUUUAGUUAGUAUACAUUCUAUAUGCAAUCUACUAAUAUAUUUCAUGUUUGUGUUAUAGGUGGCUUUAAGAUUGAAGCAAAAUGGCUACUCAGGAUGCUCUGCCGGUGAUACAGUUCCUUACAUUAUUUGCUGUCAACAGGUAUAAGAUGCCUCUUUUUGUUUCCUGCUUUGAUGUAUAUGACAAAGUGUAUCUGCUAAGAUUCUGGGUGGAAGUGUGAAUUACCUUGCUUUCGUUUCGAAGCAGAUGAAAUAUUGAUUUGCCGUAUAAGCUUUUCGAAAUGCUGGCUCAAUACAUCUGUUUGAAGAAGUACAGCGGCCUUUUCCAAUUAAAUUUCCUCUACAGCUUCUUGCCAUAGCAAAACUGGAAACUUCAUAUUAGAGCUUCUUUCUUAGGCCGUAAAGUUCAUUUUAGUUUUAUGGCUGAGCAAAAGCUUCCGACUUCUUUUAUUUUUUAAGUUAGAUGUGUGGUUUCUAUAAGUUUUUGCCUUUUGAUGUAAAUAAGCUAUUUCAGAAGUCAGGCCAAACAAGCACUUAUAGCAUUUUUUUUGUAACAUAAUCUAGAGAUAUGCAUUUUAGCAUGUAUAAUUUUCAAAUAAAGAAUGCAAGACUUGAAAACGACAGGAAUAUCUUUAUGCCAUAAGUUAAUUCCGCACCAAAUUUAUUUUCUUUUACAAGCAACCAGACCUGAUAUUAUUUUUUCAUCACCAUUUUGUCCAGGAUAAUAGUUCUAGUUCUUCCACCGGAAUUGCUCAGAGGGCUAGGCAUCCAGAAGAGCUCAAAAGGGACAGUGGCGGUUGGAUGAUCGACAUCGAAUAUUACUUGUCUCAACAGGUUCCUUUUCUUGUAUACCAUUACUCGUAUUUUUUUCCUUUGUUGAGGGUAGUCUACCUACAAAAAAUUUCUAAUCUCUUGCUAUUUUCAGAUUCAUCCUGUGGUUUCACGAUUGUGCGCUUCCAUUCAGGGCACAAGCCCAGCUCGUUUGGCCGAGUGUCUAGGGCUUGAUUCAUCUAAGGUGCACCUUCACCCUAGUAAUUCAUCUUUGGUGGUGUUUUCCAGCUCCGUUCUAAAUAUUUUUCUUUGUGCUUUUUUAUGCUUAGUUCCAAUCGAAAGUUGUUGAAUCUGCAAACCAAGAUCCUUCUACCGUGCUUUUAUCAGUAACAGAUGAUGACGAGAGGUAACUAUUUUUUGUUUAUGUUCGCAAAACUUUGAGAAAGCCUUCUCUUUAGUCGUCAUAGUAUAUAGGAAUGUACCACGUGCCAUGCCAAUCAUAUGAUGACGUGUUAGAAUAAUAAGUGUAAAUCAGGAGCAUUUUAGAAAUUCCAAGUUUGAAUGAAUGUAAAAGAAAAUUUUUUUUUCACCUUUUUUCCCCCCUAUUUGGUGAUGCUUGAUUAGGAUGUACUCUAUUUUAUGUGGUAUAAGUGUUAUAGAGAAUUUUUUCCAAAGUUUCAUAUUAAACAUUUUUGUUACCGUCCACGAACAAAUAAUACAUGCAGGUAUAAAGGCUGUGAGCCACUUCGAUUGUCGUGUCCGAGCUGCUCGAGCACUUUCAAUUGCCCUCCUGUAUCCAGCCUACUUUCUGCUUCAAGUAAUAAAAGCCAAUCGGAUUCACAAACUGAAGAGCCUAGUCACAACUUUUGGCAGAGAAUGCGUUGCCCUAGAUGUCCAGAUGAUAUCGACGGAUCUCGAGUAUCUCCAGUCAUGCUCGCUAACCAGGUGCCACAACUUUCAGACCUCUCUUAUAAGCUUAUAUGAUGGCUAAAUUGCAGAAAAUCCCCUUAUUGGUAAUGUUGUGACUUUCACUUCGCCCCUCUAAAAUAUUGAAUAUACCUAAACAUUACUGCACCUAAACUACAAGAUUUUCAUCCUGUCACUCUGCUUAGGUUUUAAAUUUCAGUAAGGUAAUGUGAAAAUCAUGGUAUUUUUAGGGGAUUUUACGAAGUCUUAUCCAUUUAUGAUCUAGCAUUUGCCAAGUUGUAAAACUAACAAUCAAAGCUCUAUUUGCAGAUCAAAAGACAGGCUGAUAACUUCAUCUCUUUGUACUACAAAGGGUUAAUGACGGUAAAUAAGAAAUUUAUAAUCUUAUUUUAAUCGCUGUGUACUAGAAAAUACCACAGUUUGUGAUGUAUUUCUAUUUUGGGUCCACCAGUGUGAUGAUGAACUAUGCAAAUACACCACCCGCAGUCUGAACCUUCGAGUAAUCGGCGAUUCUGAAAGAGGAAUGGUCUGUCCAAAUUACCCACGGUGUAACGGCCAUCUUGUAAAACAGGUUAGUGAAUGCAGCGUCGAAACUCGAUCCAUUCAUAUUUUCCUCGGAUUUUGCUUCACAUGGUGACUGAAUCCCUGUGCAACUCGUUAACAGUACACCGAGGCGGAUUUAUACCGGCAGUUGUCAUAUUUCUGUUAUGUGUUGGAUGCAGCACGGUGCCUCGAGAAGGUUAUUUAUUUAUUUAUUUUUUAAUCUCAGCCAAUAUAUUCUAUUUUUUUUUUCCUUAAUCAGUUAUUCUAUUUGUUACCUGACAGUCUGAUGGUGUAACUGCAGUUGGACCUGAAAGCUAGGGCUCCUUUUGAGAAGGAAUUUGCGGCGAUCCGUGAAGCCGUCAGUUUAGCUACUUCCGUGAUACAGAAACUCCGAGAUCAGUGCGCCUAUGGGUGGGUACAACUGAAGGACCUCACCGUCUCGAUCUAAAUUUGAUCAGAGGCCACUCUCCAUCCAUGAUAGUCUUGUAGCUGCAGAGGUCGAUCAGAGAUUCGGGCUGUGUUACGAAAAGCAGAUUCUCAUAACUCAGAAGCCCAACCUCUUCGAAAGAUAUGCUAUAUAAAGGUUGAUGUCUCGUUGCGAGCCGCAAAAGCGAGUAGAGCUAGCGAGUGAUUCAAUAAUGUGUUACAUCUGCCAAUUAGAAAGUGAAGGUUAGGUCGUCUCAGCAAAUUUUCAUCAUAGACGGGUUGCGUCAAAUCAGGUACGUAACAAAAUGGGAAUCUGAUGUAUCUAUCCAAGCAGUUCUAGGUAUUGUAUUCAGAAGGUCACCGGAUGUUGUUUUGUACAUCAUGAAACAAGCCUCCAUGAAAAUAGACUUAUUUGUUUUUUUGCAUCUUAAUUACAAUUGAGUAAUAUGCUAGGGAUGUUUUAAAACGUUGUUUUUAUGAUUGUCGAUGUAUCUGGUAUGUAUGCUGUCUCGCAUACCAGCAGUAGCAGCAUAGUAUUAUUUGUGGGAAUUCUAAGCAUUUUUUCACAGAAAAAAAAUGUGGCAAAUGUUUUCCAGGUUUUCUACGUUUUACAUAUUGAUGGCAUCUAAAAUGAAUGGUUCGUGGAUUCAAAGAUUCAAAUUGUUAUUUGUUACGGAGGCCAAAUUAUUCUGUCAUUUACUGUUGACAGAAACUACCAUUCAUUCAUUGACCGGACUAAGAUGGAAUAUUUUAUGGAAUCUUACCCUGCAGUAACGGAAUAUAAUGUUUGUAACAAAGUAAAGCAGCAAUACAUGGACAAAUUGAUUUCUCAUUAGGAUGUAGCAGCAAACAAACGGGAUAAUUUUCUAUGGAGUACGGCUAUAGUGCUUCCAAAAGCACCAGUCAUGUGGGUGCUUCUAAUUUUUUGAACUGUAGAUAAAUUUCUUUGAUUAUUUCUAAUUCUUGGAUUAAUAUUAUCUCCUUAGAAAAAUUACAAAAUCCUAGAGGGAACUUAGCCCUAGUGAGGACCACUAUCAUUCUAAUCCUACAAUUCUUGAUCCAAAAACUAAAAAGUCAGUUGCAUCAAUUCCUAUAUGCUUCCGGGAGCAUAAUAACUCUACACAUUUUCUAUGUUAUCUAAGCUAUAAUUAUCAAAUAUAUUCCUAUAAAAAUUCAAAUAUUAAAAGUUACACCUACAAGAUGACCACUCUUAGUUGGUCGGGUUCUUCCCUCAUAGAAAUUUAUUGUUUCAAAAAACUUCUUUAGAAUUUAUGAUUUAUGACUUAACUAGAAUUACGCAAGAUUUAGAAUAAAAAUAUUAGAAAUGAUAAGUGCUGUUAAGAACAAUUAAAAAAUUUUUAUUCAAGAAUAGGAUGGUCAUUUUGUAAAAGAAAAGUUAACUUUAACUUGACAAAUAAUGGACAGAAUAUAUUACAAACAACGAAAGUUGGGAAAGACAUUUGAUAACUAAAUUUUAUAGAGAUAAAUAUACAAUUUCAUUGCUAUGUAGGGACACAUAUGCAAUUAACCCUAAACAAAACCCACUAACCGUAUCAAAGAUAAUACACACCAAGGAGGGCAAUAUAUAUACAUCAAAAUAUCUUAGCAUAUAUUAUAUUAUGACCUUGUUUGGAUAUCAAACUAAGUUAUCCGAUGAUAGUUUUUUUAUAUAUAACUGGAAGGUAGGAGUUUAAUUUUUCACUUCUCCAAAGGGCUUGACAUUUAUAAUUUAGUAGAAUAACAUAUCAUCUAUGAGGUGAUUUAUCUUAUUUCGAAAAAAUAAUUUGAAGGCUAAAUAUGCUAUUCUAUUUAAGACAUUUAACCACACUCCUAGCUUCCAACCAUGGUAGAAAAUAGUCAUAUCGAAUAAAAUAUUACUUGCUAACUUAUUCUGACAUCCAAAUAUAACCUAUGUUAAAUCAAAAUACCUCAAAAGAUCUUAGUAUGUUACAUUAUGUGAAAUAAUUGUGUGCAUGAUGCAUCAAGUGAAAUUAUUAUGGCCUCAUUGCUGUUUGCUUGAAAACAUACCUCUAUGUAACACACAGUUUCUCGUUUAGAUUGCGUUGUUCACAUGUAAGUUCUCCACAUGUCACAUUCACCUGUUUAUUGCAGUUCACCAACCGGUGCCUCACUAAGCCACAGGAAGUGGAUGAAGUCAUAUAACUUCGCGCUCACGCUAACCUGGUCGGUUAUUAAAUGAUAUUUUGAGUCUGAAUUUUUUACUUGUAAGAUUCUCCGAUUUAGUGAAUUGGCGAGAGCGAUUGACGUACCUUGUAUGGUGUUGGGUUUAACCUCCUCAUGUGAUCCGGACGCAUUUGGUCGAGAUGCUGCAUACAGCGCUUUCUGAUUUUCCCUAUUGGUGGUAGUUCUUCCCUUGUUUUAUCUGCAGAAGAAAGAAAAGAGUCGAAAUUCAAAAACUUGUGCCUAAAAGCUGUUGCUAUUUAUGACAUAAAAGAAAAUUGACGAGGCAUUGUUUUCACCAUGCUUCUGCUCCCAUGACUGAUACCGUGUCCUAAAAUAUUGCUAAACUCACAAGAAACUUCUACAAUGUCUUCGAGAUAUAGAAAACUACUCUUUUUUUUUUUAAUAAGAGUGGUAUGAUCCCUGGAACUUAUUUAACUUACAAAUUUAGUGUAAAUGAAAACAUUAUUCUAGCAGCGCCUAUAUAUAAGAAUCUACCGAAAUGUCUCAAAAAUAAAAAGACAAAAGUUCAUCGCAUAGAGAAGAAAAUAAACUACUAAAGAAAAUUGAUCCAUACGUGAAUUUCCAGGCCAAUAACAUUUUAAUAGUUCCUCGAUGUGCUGUGGCACAACGUAUGCCCUUUUUGACUCGGUAAAUGGAUGGCGGCACAAUAUCCUCUCUCCAAUCUAUUAAUUGCAACCAAAAAAAAAAAAAGAAAAAAAAAAUCAAAUCACUCCAAUAAAAAGAUACAAAACUAAAAUAACUCAUUAACAUGUUUCCAAUAGACCUAAAUGUACUGAAAAAACCAAGAAAUACUAAUUAAGAGAUAUCCCUAGUUUUGCUUGCUCUCAUCAUUUUCGCAAGUUAUGCAGAUAUAUAAAAAUAUGUGAAUUUUGAGGGGUCAAUAUAUAUGGAAAAAAACUCCCUAUGCUUAAUCAUACAAUUUUUUUUUUGUCAUUUAACUUGCAAAUUUAAACCCUUAGCAAUCACAAAUAAGGUGAUCGUGCACCUUUGGAGCUGGCUCAUUUUCUCCAGUCAUUAUAUCCACCAACGGGUAGCCCUCUUUUCCAUACAACCUGUAACAUCGUUUCUUACAUGGUAUAGAAACCUAAGAAAAAGAAAAAAACAGAAGCAGUUAGGUGCAAAAAAAAACUUCCAUUAAUUUAACCAAAUACCACAUGUACCUUUGUUACAUCUUCAGAGAGUUUGAUGCGUGGCUGAUUAUUGAUUUCCACAAGUUUGAAUACACAACCAAGAGCUGCUUGAGCAUAGCAAGUGACGAGGUACGUUCCAAUGCCAAAGGCAUCUACCUCAUGACCCUUCAUGAAAAGUUAAUAUGUCAUUAUGGGUGUGCAACAAUAAUGAGAAAUUAUUGCUUGCACUUGAUGCACCACAUAAGCUGUGCACCGCAGAGUGAGAUGCUUUCGAUCCAACUACCGAGCUUACUUUUAGAGCAAAUAAUUUUUAAUUGAAGAAAAGGUUGCAACUCUCUGAGAUGUGCAGAUUGAAGUACAAGAUGGAUGGAUCGUAUCUCACAGGGCAAUGCAUGCAAAUGUUGUGCACCGAGUUUAGACAAUAUUUUCAUCGAUUGCAGUGUAAGUGAAUAAAUGGGUGUAAGCUAGUAGAAAAAUCUUUGAGAGUGCAUGCGCAUGUGCACAUGCAUCCACACACAAAUUCCUGGAUCAAAGAACUAUAUUUGCAUCAACCCAUCCUUAAGGCCAGGGGAGUUGAUUACACUUCAGAAAUUCAAUUGGUAAUCAAAGCUGAGAAGAUGAAAUCCUAUUUCUAUGUUCAAAUAUGUUCACCUGCUUGUUCAAUGCAUCGAUAGUUUCCUCAUUUAGAUCGUUGCUUGCUGUAAUAUUCAUUUUUCCAAAAUCAAACACAUCAAAUUCUUCUUCUAUCGACUGAAAGAACUUCCGGGCUUCAGUUGACAAGUAAGCUAAAUCACCAGAGUCCAGCCUAAUUCCAAUUGCUUUAUACCUGCAUCAAACAAUUUUCAACUUGCCAAUAUGUAAUUUUAUGAUGAUAAAUUAGUACAGUUGCAAUAAGCGCAAUAAAAGAUCUGUAUGUGAAACUGAUGACAAUAUGGAAGCUCAAGGAUGUUACAAACAUAACAUAAGCAGAAUCUAUACGGGAAAAGAGAUAUUGCAAACUAGCGUAACGAAAUCAUCACCUCCAGUUUAUCAGGCAACUGCUGCAUUUUGUUUUUUUAGUUCAAUCAUGACUAAAAUUAAGAAUCAUAAUUAACAACUGGUAUUUUGAAAGCAAAAGCAUGUGCCCAGCAUCCUUCACCUUAGUUGGUUCCGCAUACACAACAUCAUUGACUAACAUUUUCUCUAAAAACAAGAACAAUCUCUUACAAUCAUGCAUUAUCCGACAUUACUGUUUUGUUCCCAAGAAUUUUAUUAAUGCAUUUCAUGCAUAAAACAGGGGAAAAAAGGUAAAAUUCGUAAUGUAUCCUAUAUAUCCUUAACAGAGGGUUGUUUGCGGGAAUGAAGCGCUUAGUUAGAAAGCCAUUCUAUAUAUACAUAUAUUAUAUCUGGUGUUUCCUAGGGAAUAAAAUAUGUUAAAGCAGUUCAAAAAUGAAAGGUCAAGUUAAAUACAAAGAAUAGCAUGCAAGGACUGAACAUACAUCUUUGAAUGAAAAGAUUAAUGUGCAUGUGAAGAGGUUCUCGAAAAUUAGUUGAAGGCUCAAAAUUACCCCAAAUCAUUAAGAGAUAAAGCAACUGCACAGAAGUUGGGCACCCCACUCCGGAUAACCUGUUGAAUGCACAUUUAAAGACCAGCUUCUGUAUUAGCUAAAAUACCAAAAAAGAGAUAUCUACUAUUGGGUAUAAAAAGUCAAACUCCAAAGACAGAUUACAAUAGUAUGCCACAGAAAUUGUUGACCGAUCAAACCUAUUUUAAUGCAGCAAACGCACUCCAGUCUGUUAUAUUCUUCUACAUUUAAAUCAUUAAAAUUCGGAAAGGGAGAUUGGAGUCCUGUAGUCAAUAGGAGUUCAGUGCAAGUAGGUCUUUCUAAACUUCUAAUUUGAACCCACGCUACAUAUUGUAUGUAUUGGAUGGUUGCUCAAUUGUUCCUAAUUAUAUUAAUACCGUAUCUGUCUCAAAAGCUCAUUGUAAAUAGCUAAUGUAGUGAAAUCCAAAUAUCCAAUCACUGUUGCUUAAGUGUAAGUGCUAAUUCAUGUAGUGCGCCACAUAUUAGUACUUCAAAUAGAUAUAGACAGCUAGAUGCACAACAUAAGAUUGUUUGGGGCAAGACAGGUAUUAAAGCUUAUAUGAUAUAUUGCUUUCGGCUGGUAGUCAAGUACAACUGGAUGGCUGUUAAGUGCUAUAUUGACAAGCCAAACUAAAAUCUGCAUGUAUCCCUGAAAUAUGACAAUUUAAUACCAUAAAAAAAACACUCAUCCUUAUGACAAAAUUCAAUACACAGAGGAAGAUUUUGUGAUAAUUUGCAUACAUAGAUCACAAUGGAAGAAACAUUAAUGGGUUGGAGUAGAAGGACAAAAAAAUGGUUUGACAAUCAACAGUAGAUAAUUAAAUGAUGGGAAGAAUAGAAGGUAAGAGCUACAUAAACAUCAACUUACAUCAUAUGUAUCCACAAGUGCUAGAAAGUUUUUUGGAAAAGCCAAAGCAUAUGAUGUGAAUGCCGCCAGCUCACUUUGAUUAGUCUCCCCAAAGACACCAUGGAGUGAUUUUGCCCGCUGAAAGCAUGUACUUUGUAGUAAUUAUAAUAAUUUAAAAAGAAAAGGAGUACAACAAUCAGAAGUUUAACACCCUCAUUGUACAAACUUGCAUCAUCCAGCUUUACAAUUAUUACUAAAAGCUAGCUCUAAUCAUUUUCAGUAUUAGUAGCUUGUCCAUUUGAGUGUGAAUGGUGUUUUCCUCAACACAAGAAGAAUAUCAAUAGGUUGGUACUAUAAACUAUGCAAAUAUGCAUAUGUAAUUGUGAGCCUGUGACAACUAUAAAUCAAAUUUAAUUGUAUCAUUAAUCAAUCAUUGGUGCAUAUCUAUUUGUUCAGUAAUAAUUCAUUUAAUAAGUAAAAGAUAUUGAACAUAAUGGUUUCAGCUCUGUUUUAUUUACAAGGGGGAAAAGAAACGUGAGAUUGCAGAUAAAUUAUGCUAUAACCAAUUAACCACCUGAAUUUUGUUCAGCCAAUUCUGCACCAAAGUUACAAAAUCUUCACAUGUGCUUGAACCAUCAUGAGAUAGAAGUGCUUUGUCAAUAAUCUCAUCAAGGCUCUUGAUAAAAAGUAAAAAAAUUGAAUGUUAGAGCAGCAGAUGCAUUACACACAAUAGCAAGAUAAAAAUAGCAAAUAUCAUAAUAACAGCGAGAGAAUAUCAUGUGCAGGACGAACAAGGCAUGAAAACAUAAAAUAUUAUAUCUUUCUGAAAAGGCAAUUAGAAUUUCCAGUUUGUCCCAAAUAAAUCUAAUCCAGGUUCAUUUUUGCAUUUAGGAAUGGCUUCCUGUUGCCUAACCAUAAAGAGACAAAAAGAAUAAUCAGUGAGAGCGUGUUUUCAUCAGAUCUUUAAAGUUGAUUGACUGGGUUUCUGGUCCGGAAUCUAUUUUAUCAUCAUUUACAAGCAAACAUAGUCUGGUAGUAGUUUAAGAGACAAUCAAAAGCCCCAUAGAGUUUAAGAUUUUGGAUCAAAUAACUUUGAAAAAGGACCAUUAUCUGGUGUUUCUCUCCAGUAAUAACAGAAUAUCAAAGAAUAUGUGCCAACAAAAUUCUAAAGCAAGUGUGACUGUGAGAUUAAUUCCAUGGAAAGUAGUGCGACUGUGAGAGAUAUCUAUUGACCAUUAUGUUCUGGAAAGCUGAUGUAUAAGGAUUACAAGUAAUUUCUCCAACCAUGUAAGAGCUGACAAAAGCAUGUGAAUGAGUCCCGCGAAGUGGUAUCCCGAACAAUCUUCCUGCUUCAACGUUGCUGUCAACAUAAGGUGAUUCAGCUUUCUCAUUAUACCAAAAUAGCUAAAUAAAAUUACUAACUAUAAAAAUAAAAAAACUCCUUUCCUAUGAUCAUAAAGCUAUUUCACAUUCAAGCGGCAUCUAGUAAUGUCAUUACUUUUUUGCCUUACAUCCUUUAUUGAUGCUGUGUUUCAACAGGAAAGAUCUUCCUUGGAGAUAAAGAUUACACAUAAUAAGAAAUAGCCAGGAAACCUAAAAAAUGAGGCAAGUCCCAGGGCUUAUUAUCUGAACUCUUAAGAAUAUCAAGAACAAAGAAUGCAACACAAUCAAACGUUAUUUAGACUAAAGAGAAACUUUUUCACAGAAUAUACAUAGAACAUACAGUGCACCAUCAAGGAAAUUGAUUCACUCAACGGUCCAAACAAAAAAGAGUACAAAGGUCCCUACGAUAUGGCGUUCAGUGUAUCAACAGAAAAAACCUUGUGGCAUCAAAUCCGCCCAUAUAGCAAUAUCUUGAGGCGCUUAUUCCUCCAUCAGGCCCCUAAGAUUGUGAAAUCAAAGUUAUGAACAUAUAGGUUUAGACCUUUUAAAUAAACUUAAAAAGUUAUUAACAGCUACCUGUGCCCGCCGAAGUCCAAAUUCAAGCAAGGUCUUUGACUUUCCAGCAACAAGUCGGUGUCUUGCAGCGUUUGUAGUAACUAAAGAGGCAUAAUUGACAAGACAUAGGAAAGGAGUUUCGAGCAGCUGGACUACCUGGAAAGAUAUCACACAUUAAAUUAUCAUGCAUGUUUAGGAUUUACUCUCAACAUGUAAAAUUAACAAUGGAACUUACAGCUACUGGCCCUUCAAUCCUCAUCAAGGGAAUCUUAGGGAACACAACAGAACCCUCAGGAAUGGCAUAAACCUCAACAUCAGAGCAGUCAAUUGACCUCAGAUAGUCAAAGAAUCCAUCCUAAAGGAGGAAAAGAAAAUAUCCAACAUCAUGUUGUAUUAUCAAAACUCUCAAGUGAAAACAAAAUAACCUAUAGAACAGACAACUAAAUUAGCGGCUAAUUAUUGAGUGUCUCCUAUAUAAUGUAGGAAACCAAGAUAAAGAAGGACAAAGAGUAAGAGAUAUAUCGCAAAUAACUAGAGAGGAUAUAUCGCAAAUAACUAGAGAGUUGUGAUGUUCCGACAAUGUUGAGGCAUAUGAAACGUAUAGAAGUUGCGAAUUAUGUAUGAGGAUUAUAACAUGCCUUACGUAACUAGAGCUCUACUAAGUGACAAAUUUUUAGACUUUCUUGUAACUUCUUUUCCAAAUCUUGCUAAGAAUACAUGUUUUAACCUCCUAUGGAAAAGCACACCCACAUGCUAUUAUGAUAUCAAAUUGUUCUAACAUAUUCUUCUCAGCAAUACCACUGGUAUAUGUAGAGGCAACAGAUUAUAAAAGUUAAGAAAAGAGUGCAUAACAUGGAAUAGUAGCUAGUAGAUAAAAACAUGGUACUCAUACCUCACACGUCGGCAUGGCCGACCGCAAGAAUGAGAUCUCCUCCUCCUUCAAUUUGAAAUUAGCGACAAAUCUUAUGCAUUCUUCGAGCCCGCCAAAGAUGGUAUAUUCACCUCCAAACGGAUUCUUCCGGAAGUACAGAUCAAAGCUGAAACAGAAUCAAACUCACAACCAAUAUCAACAUAUAUUGUUUAAUCAAAUCCACCUCCUCUCGCCAUCCAAAUCAUUCGUUCUUUCACCAGGGAGCGUAAUAUCCCACUCAAAAUCGUAAAUAAAACAAAUCCUAAGCAAAUCAAUCAAAGCGAGCUAACAAAUCAAAGCAAUUCAAAUCGCCAAACUCAUCCAAAUCAAUCAUUUCAACAUCCCUAGGGCAUCAAAUCCAUCACCCAACCCACAAAAAAGGGAGCGGAAUCGAGAGGAUCAGCGCUCACACAGCUCGGUCGAGAUGCUUCCCCGCUUUCCAAUAGGCGUAGGCCAUGGUGAACUGGUAGAGAUCGGCGAGGAGGGGCGUCACCAUCGGAUUCGUCGGCAUCGGCGGCGGGGGCGGCGAUCGCCGGUCCUCCUCGAUCGAUCCGUUCGGCACGGCGAUCGACUCCGAAUCCGGCUCCAUCAGUGCUCCGAUCGUCCUUUCUCGAUCUCCCUCGAUCGCUCUCGAUCGAUCUCCUUUUCUAGGGUUUUUGCAGAGAAAGAGAGAGGAGAAUAUAUGCUAUGGUGAAUGCAGUGAUAAGCGGUAGCAGUGACAUGGCGGGGAGAAGCGGUGCUCAAAAUGAAACAGCUUCCCAAUUCAGUCCACGUAGUUCCAAACGGGGACAGGUACAUGCGGGGACUCGUCGUGGACCUUUGUCCACGUAGGCUUAUAAAAAAAAUUUAAAAACAAUUCUUUUUUUAUAUUUAUAAAAUUACAGUAAUUAAUUGCAUAUAACUCCCUGUAAAUAUAUCGAAUAACAAAUAUAUCCCUACAGAGCUUAGCUUUUUAUUUUUGUCCUUAUAAAAGUCUUAAUGUUUUCAAAUAUACUCUUGCUGUUAGAAUCCGUUAGAAAAUAUAGUUAAUUAUACGUAAAAUAUUUAAUCCUGAUUAGUGAAUGAGUUAAAUUAACUUUUUUACCCUUCUUAUAUUAUUAGAUAAAAUAUUUUUUUAGGAGAAAAUUUCUACCGGUUUCUAACAGUUGGAAUUUUUAGAGAGAUAUAUUUGUUAGGACAAAAAUAUCAUUUCACUUAUCUGUUGUUAAAAAAUAAAUAGUACUUUAAUGGUGACAAAUCAGAGGGACAAAUAUGAAUAUUACCAGACUUUUGUAGGGAUAAAAAUAAAAAGUUGAAUUUUAUAAGAAUAUAUUUGCUAUUCGAUAUAUUUACAAAGAGCUGUAUGCAAUCAACCCCAAAAAAGGCUAUAUGCUUUUUUGGUAGCGUCUCUAACGGUAAUUCUAAAACUAAAAUAUUUGAGGAGAAAAGAUUAUAAACAUUUUCUAAUUUUUUUGAAUCUUUUAAAAUAUAAAAUGAUAUUUUAAUCACCAUAUUAUUUAAUUGGACUUUAACGGUACACUAAGUAGUUAUAAAUCUUACACUCCUCUCACCUAAGGAUUCUUAAUCUCUACUUGUUAUAUCAAUCUUUUUUAACCAAAAAUUCAAAGAAUUUUGUAAAUUCUAAAAUAUUUAGGGUGCAAAAUUUACAUCUAGCUAGAAGUGUAUAUGUACCAUUUUCCUAACUAAAAAAUAUCUAUUUUAUAUUUUAAAAAGCCUAAAAAUUUUAAAAUACUUUUUUUUUUACUUAAAAUAAUAGUGACAACCGCGGAAGAGAAGUAUAGAAGAAUAUAAGUAUGAAAGCAUAUUACUUCUGUAAAAGUGGCAACCGCAAUUUAACAGCAUAAAAAGAGAGAGGAAUGGAAGCGCUUUACCAUUUUUGAAUAUUUUAAAGUGUAAAAUAAGUUUUUUUAGCCACCAUAUUUCCAAACUAGAUUGUAUACAUACCGCUAAUUUUCUCCUAAUUGAUUUUGUUAAAUUAAAUUUUGAUAAAAAAUUAUUUUUCUUUUGUCAUUUGUUUAAUAGAGAUGAGAGCUCCUCAAUUUGAAGCCAUUCUAUAAUAAUUUCCUUCUUUUUCUGGAUUUAUUUCUCCUGGACUUUUAAUAAUUUUAAUUUAAUUAUGUUAGUUCCUAAUUUAAAAUUUUAAUUAAAAUUAAUAAUUUAGUAAACUAUUGGGCAUUUGGAAUCAAAAUUUUUAUCUAAUAAAAUAUUCAUGAGAUCAUUAAAGUUACCUAGCAUAGUUGGUUAAAGACUUGAUGAUCAACAAGUAGAUCUCAAGUUUAAAGCCUAAUUAUUUCAUAUUUUUAGCUAUAUUUUUUUCAAAACAACAAAAAAAAUAGACAAGUUACUACUUUUCUAUAUAUAUGCGUCUGGUAUACUUCUGGAAGCACGGAGCGUUCCAUGCUUUUAAGUUGUUUUCGAUGUUUGGACUUUCGAAUCGACGAUCGGCUCCGUUAGACUUGAUCUAGAGUAUUUGAAGUAUCUAGAAAAUAAAUUUUGCGAUUUUUCGAUAUCAUUUGCCUAGUAAUCGAAGUGGCUCAAAAUCAACGGCUGAAAAUAAAAAACUUACAAAAUAUGAUGAUAUGACAUUAAAAUUUUAGAUCAAAGUUAUUAAUCUUGUUUUAUAUGGUAUAAAGAAUUUUCUGUCAAAAUUUCAUGUGAUUUGAAUAUUUCUACACUGUUAAACUUGUAAACGGCUCACCACGGUCAUUAAAAUUAUUGAUUUUGAGCCCCUUCGAUCACUAGGCAAAUGAUAUCGAAAAAUCACAAAAUUUUAUUUUCUAGACACUUCAAAUACUCUAGAUCAACUCUACCGGAGCCGAUACUUCAUCGAAAAGUCCCAACACUGCGAAAGGCAACUGACAAGCACGAAAAGCUCCGUGUCUUUCCAGAAGCAUACCGGCCCACUCUAUAUAAUAUAUAUAUAUAUAUAUACUAUAUAUAUUUAGUGUUUGGGGUCAAUUUUUUCAAGAGAAGGUGUGACUCUUCACGCUCCCUCUCUUCUCUCUCUCUCACUUCCUCUCAUCUUCUCUCCUCUCUCUUUAAACCUUUUUCUCGCGGCGAAUUUUAUCCUUAUUUUUUUUCCUACGCAACUUUUUCUACUUAUUUUCCAUAUUUUUCUCUAAAAAGAGUUAUUUGGUUCCUCAAAAAAAUAUGAAUUUUUUUUAAAAAAAUUCAAGGAAAAUAUUUUAUCUAAUUUUUCAUCCAUUUAGUUCCAAAAAUAAAUGGAAUUUUUUUUUAAAAAAAAUCCAUAUUUAAUGGAAACCUAAUAUUUUUGUUUUUUGAAAAAAAAAAAGGAAAACACUAGUUUUCUACAAAAUCUGAAAAAAAAAAAGUUUUUCUUAGAAUCAAAUGAAUAAAAAAUUGGAAAGAGGAUUUUCCAUGAAAAUUUUUUUUAAUAAAUUUUUUUUUCAUAUUUUUCUAAGGAACCAAUUGUAGUCUCUAAAAUCUUCACUAUAAUCAUCUAGUGUUUUUUUCGCUCUUCUUGCUUCGCUCUUUUACAAUUCGGGACUUUUCAGUCUUCUAACUCUUUUAGGCAUCGCAGACUUUAUGAAUAUCCUUCGAACUGAAGCUUGGCAGAUUUGAAGAUAGGGAUGUUUUGAUAUAGUUCAAGAGAUGAAAAUUAAAACAAAAGUACAGUCUGGAUGAUUGUUUUUGUCUAUGAUCUUCUCCAACAAGGCACUAAAUAAAGAUAACAAUACUAUGGUAGAUGCUAUUCUCACUUUAGGUGAGAUGGAAUAAUAAUUAAUAACACUUCUAUCCUAUUCCUACUAAUUCUCACUAUUAUCAAUCAAAUGCGGUGAAAAUAAUGCUUACAAUUGCAAUUUUUUGAGAUAUGUUUCACUAAUUUUAGAAGAUAAUUUUUCAAAAAUUAAUAUUUACAGAGCUAAAUUUAAUAUUGUCAGAAUAGGUACAUUAUAUCUAGUUACUAUUUGAAUUUUUUGCACUGACAAUACCAAAAUUUGCAAUAAAAAUAUCAAUUUCCAUUUUUCAAACCAUAUAUUUAAAAACAAUAGUGGGUAUAGUGUACCUAACUUAUUACCAGCCCUUCUUUUGUCUGAUUGUUGAGAAAAGAAAAUGACAAAAGCAAUGUGCCAGUUAUGAGUUAUAUAUAACCAUGCAAUAAUAGAAUGAGUUAUGAGUUAGGAUGGUCCUGUAAUAAUAAUAUAAUGAAUUAUGAAUUAUUAUUAUUAUUAUUAUUAUUAUUAUGACAACAAUCAAUUCAUGCAUGAAAACAACAUGUUGCAUUACUUCAUCUCUAUGCCUUGCAAACAAUUUGUGCCAAAUUAAACCCCAUUUAGAGCAAACAAUAAUAAGAUUACCGACCGUAUCUAGUGCAGUUGUGAUUAGUGAGUGAGUGCGACGCCCUAUUUCCUAGGAGGUCCUCCACUCUAGAGUUAUUUUUGUCCUAAACUAGCUCAAUCCUUCUAACUUCCUGAGUCUAGUCAUUUUCCAAAAUAUUAUAAUUGGAUUAAUGAUUCAAGUCUACUCUAUCUUCUGUAUAGAACUAUUCCAAAAUUUGGAAGGGCUACAUUCUUCCCUCUUUAAGUCUUGACGUUUUCGUCAGACUUAAGCAUACUCGCAAAUACCAAACGACAUGAGAUUCAUUUUGCCAAUCUUAACUAACCUUAUAGGGAGCGGUGCUACACCUGCAAAGAUCGCCAAUCGGGGAGCAUUGCUCUACUCGUUAUAUAAUUCUAAAUCAAUGGAGACUUAUUUUAUAUUUUGGCUCGUGAUUAUCACUGAUACCAGCUGUGACGAACAGCUUUUCAGAAAGAUCAUUUAUCUUAGAACUACUCUAACUUGAGUUAGAGUUUCUAGCAAAAACUUGAGGAGCUCUCCGUCUACUCUCAUCUGUCUAAACAACACUAUAUUAAAAAAAUAAUUAAUGAAAAUCAAUAAGAAAAUUUGAUCCGUUUUAUUAAUUUUGAAUCCAUUAUUCUUUAAAAAAUGUGGAGUCUACAAUGUGAAAAAAGAUUCUAGGAUUGCAACCCUUAAUCAAAGGAUAGUAAUACAUUUUUUUUGGAUUAAUUUUAAUUAAAAUAACUAUUAUGUCACUCUUUUUUCGAAGAUAACUAUUAUGUCACUCUUUUUUUAAUUAAAAUAAAAAAAUUGCAUAAACCGUGAGGGAUAAAGUUAUAAAUUUUGAAUUGAACGUUGUAAUCCUACAAUUCUUUUUGAAUUGUAGCACUCUUUAAGUAAUAGAUCCAAGCUUAGUAGUGCUUGGCCUAACAUUCGAGAAAUUGAUUUAUGUAGAAUUAAUUUUAAUUUAGAAAAUUGAUUCUCUAAGUUUGAUUAAUUCUAGCAGGAAAUUCAUUUUUCUAAAGUGACAAUUUUUUUUAUGUUUACAAGUAAUGAAUUUAAAUUUUAAAAUUUUAAUUUAAAAUCUGAGUNCUAUAUAUAUAUAUAUAUAUAUAUAUAUAUAUAUUAGUGUUUGGUCAAUUUUUCAGAGAAGGUGGGACUCUUCACCUCCCUCUCUCUCUCUCUCUCUCUCUCUCUCUCUCUCUCUCUCUCUCUUUAACCUUUUCUCCGGAAUUUUUAUCCUUUUUUUCUAGCAAUUUUUCUACUUAUUUUCCAUAUUUUUCUCUAAAAAGAGUUAUUUGGUUCCUCAAAAAAAUAUGAAUUUUUUUAAAAAAAAUUCAAGGAAAAUAUUUUAUCUAAUUUUUCAUCCAUUUAGUUCCAAAAAUAAAUGGAUUUUUUUUUAAAAAAAAUCCAUAUUUAAUGGAAACCUAAUAUUUUUGUUUCUUGAAAAAAAAAGGAAAACACUAGUUUUCUGCAAAAUCUGAAAAGAAAAAGUUUUUCUUAGAAUCAAAUGAAUAAAAAAUUGGAAAGAGGAUUUUCCAUGAAAAUUUUUUGUAAUAAUUUUUUUUUUCAUAUUUUUCUAAGGAACCAAUUGUAGUCUCUAAAAUCUUCACUAUAAUCAUCUAGUGUUUUUUUCGCUCUUCUUGCUUCGCUCUUUUACAAUUCGGGACUUUUCAGUCUUCUAACUCUUUUAGACAUCGCAGACUUUAUGAAUAUCCUUCGAACUGAAGCUUGGCAGAUUCGAAGAUAAGGAUGUUUUGAUAUAAUUCAAGAGACGAAAAUUAAAACAAAAGUACAGUCUGGAUGAUUGUUUUUGUCUAUAAUCUUCUCCAACAAGGCACUAAAUAAAGAUAACAAUAUUAUGGUAGAUGCUAUUCUCACUUUAGGUGAGAUGGAAUAAUAAUUAAUAACACUUCUAUCCUAUUCCUACUAAUUCUCACUAUUAUCAAUCAAAUGCGGUAAAAAUAAUGCUUACAAUUGCAAUUGUUUGAGAUAUGUUUCACUAAUUUUAGAAGAUAAUUUUUCAAAAAUUAAUAUUUACAUAGCUAAAUUUAAUAUUGUCAGAAUAGGUACAUUAUAUCUAGUUACCAUUUGAAUUUUUUGCACUGAUAAUACCAAAAUUUGCUAUAAAAAUAUCAAUUUUCAUUUUUCAAACCAUAUAUUUAAAAACAAUAGUGGGUAUAGUGUACCUAACUUAUUACCAGCCCUUCUUUUGUCUGAUUGUUGAGAAAAGAAAAUGACAAAAGCAAUGUGCCAGUUAUGAGUUACACAUAACCAUGCAAUAAUAGAAUGAGUUAUGAGUUAGGAUGGUCCUGUAAUAAUAAUAUAAUGAAUUAUGAAUUAUUAUUAUUAUUAUUAUUAUUAUGACAACAAUCAAUUCAUGCAUGAAAACAACAUGUUGCAUUACUUCAUCUCUAUGCCUUGCAAACAAUUUGUGCCAAAUUAAACCCCAUUUUGAGCAAACAAUAAUAAGAUUACCGACCGUAUCUAGUGCAGUUGUGAUUAGUGAGUGAGUGCGACGCCCUAUUUCCUAGGAGGUCCUCCACUCUAGAGUUAUUUUUGUCCUAAACUAGCUCAACCCUUCUAACUUCUUGAGUGUAGUCGUUUUCCAAAAUAUUAUAAUUGGAUUAAUGAUUCAAGUCUACUCUAUCUUCUAUAUAGAACUAUUCCAAAAUUUGGGAGUGCUACAUUCUUCCCUCUUUAAGUCUCGACGUUUUCGUCAGGCUUAAGCAUACUCGCAAAUACCAAACGAGGUGAGAUUCAUUUUGCCAGUCUUAACUAACCUUGUAGGGAGCCGUGCUACACCUGCAAAGAUCGCCAAUCGGGAAGCGUUGCUCUACCCGUUAUAUAACCCUAAAUCAAUGGAGACUUAUUUUAUAUUUUGGCUCAUGAUUACCACUGAUACCAACUGUGACGAACAGUUUUUCAGAAAGAUCAUUUAUCUUAGAACUACUCUAACUUGAGUUAGAGUUUCUAGCAAAACUUGAGGAGCUCUCCAUCUACUCUCAUGUGUCUGAACAACACUAUAUUAAAAAAAUAAUUAAUGAAAAUCAAUAAGAAAAUUUGAUCCGUUUUAUUAAUUUUGAAUCCAUUAUUCUUUAAAAAAUGUGGAGUCUACAAUGUGAAAAAAGAUUCUAGGAUUGCAACCCUUAAUCAAAGGAUAGUAAUACAUUUUUUUUUGGAUUUAAUGUUAAGAAAACAAGAGAAAAAUAUGAUGGGGAAGAAGAAUCUAACCAAUGGAUUCGAAGAUAACUAUUAUGUCACUCUUUUUUUAAUUAAAAUAAAAAAAUUGCAUAAACCGUGAGGGAUAAAGUUAUAAAUUUUGAAUUGAACGUUGUAAUCCUACAAUUCUUUUUGAAUUGUAGCACUCUUUAAGUAAUAGAUCCAAGCUUAGUAGUGUUUGGCCUAACAUUCGAGAAAUUGAUUUAUGUAGAAUUAAUUUUAAUUUAGAAAAUUGAUUCUCUAAGUUUGAUUAAUUCUAGCAGGAAAUUCAUUUUUCUAAAGUGACAAUUUUUUUUUAUGUUUACAAAUUAUGAAUAUAAAUUUUAAAAUUUUAAUUUAAAAUCUGAGUCAAAAUUAAAAUUUUUUAUUAAAUUUAAAAUCUAAUUUAAAAUUUAAAUUUUAAAAAUUAAAAAUUAAAAUUUAAAUUUAAAAUUUGAAAUUAAAAAUCUGAAUUUAUAUUUAAAAUUUUAAUUUUAAUUUAAAAUUUGAGUCCAAAAGCAGAAUUAGAUUUUGAGAAGCAAAUUUUAAUUGCUUCUGAUUUUGGGCCUAUAAAAUCAUAAUUAAAAUUAAUUCCAAGAAUCAAAAUCAAAAUUUGAAAAAAAAAAAAACCAAAUGCUCUAUUGAAAAAAAAUAUAUAUUUUUGACUCUAAAAUCACUUUCUAUAAUCUAGGCUAAGCACCCUCUUAAUAAAGUGAAUUAGACUAUCAUGUGGACUUCAUUAUUUAUUNAGUUUUUAUUUUUUUUUUUUUUUUUUUUGGCAUUUUUAGUAUUCAAAAACCAAAAAGUCAAGAGUUGGCGUUUGGACGAGGGAAAAAUUCUACUUGAUUUUUUUUUUUGGAGAGAUAGGUAGCACGCUACUCGCUUCGUUUAUUUCAUUUGAAAAAUAAACUUAGCUGAAAAUGUGAAUCAAUUAGGAUUCGAACUUAAGUCUCGAGGGUACCAACCACCAAGUUCUUUGCCAUUUGCUCUAAGGACUGUCGGUUAAAAAAAAAAAAAAAAAUUCUACUUGUACACUCCAAAAUGGGGGGUGUGGAGUAAAAAAAAUUGAUGUAACAAUUAAAAAAAUUAAUGACCCUUAGAUAGAGUAAGUGUAAGAUAAACACCCUAUUUUGAGGUACACCAGUAGUAUUUAGGAAUGCAAAUGAGGAGGAUCUGGCGAUGGAGCCCCGCUUUCCUUCCCGCUCCAACUAUCAAAAUUCUGCCCCGACUACCAAAAUCCCAUCCCGCUUCCCGCCCUAUAUCCAUGACGGAUCAUAAAAUAUUAUUCCUCAGUUCGCUAGCUUGAUAACCCACCUCCCGCUCGUGCCUCGAAUAAUAUUUUGUAAAUAUAAAUCAAUAAAUUUUUUAAUAAUAAUAAAUAAUAUUAUCAAGUUAUAUAUAAUUAACAAUAUCCACUAUAAAAAUAAAAAAUAUCAAUCACAAUUCGCAAUAAAAAAUAAAAGUUUCAAAUAUAUGCAUAUUAAAAAAAAAGUUUACUAGACUUAUAACACCAACUCAAGAAAUAAGAGCACUAAUUUAUUCAUAGUUGAUUUUUUUUUGAUAAAUAUAUUAUUUUUUAGAAUUAUUUUUUAAAAAUAUAAAUAAUUUUCGAGGCUGAUUCAGGCAGAUUAAGAGCGAAUCAAGAUUUUUUCUAUUUUCUCUCUCGAAUCAGCCUCUGAUCAUAAAGAUUAUUCCGUUUUCAAUUUCGAAGCUAUUUAUUUUUUUUCAUUUACUGUUCCAUUCGAAGCGAUACCCGAAUCCAUUUGCACUCCUAGUGGCGGCAUUGCUCUAGUAGGUGGUGCCCACCCUUUUAAGUAAAAGUAUAUGAAGAGCCCCUUAAUGGUAGACAUUUUUGAAAUUGCUCUCUCAACUUUAAUUUUUAUUAGGAUCCCCUCACCUUUUAAUUUUUUGAAGUUAGAAAAAUUUUAAAACUUUAUGGUUCUAUUAUGUAUUAGCCAUUAAUUAUUUUAAUUUUAUUUUCUAACAAAUAAUUAAAAUUAUUAAUUUUUGCGCACUUAGAAAUUCAAAAAAAUUAAAAAUUUUUUAAAAAGUUGCCUAUAGUUGAGGAGUCUCCAUACAAUUUUAGCAUAAAUAUAUUAAUAUUUUUUUCCUGUCUUUUCUUUUAUUUUCUUUCCUAUUUUCUCAGCCUUUCUUGUUUUCUUUUCAAAGCACUCAAUUAUUUUAUGAAAAAACUUUAAAUAAUUUUAAAAUUUGAAAGCUAAGAUGUGUCAAUCAAAUGUUUCAAGCUGAAGGGGUAAUUUCAAAUUGCCUAUAGUUUUUUACAAUAAAAUAUUAAUAUUUCUUUUUAUUUUUCCAAUUUUCUCGUGCUAUUUUUUACCUUCCAAAGCAGUGAAGCACUCAAUUAUUAGUUUUUUGAAAAAAAAUUAAGUAAUUUGCAAAAUUAAAAAUUUAAGGGGUUUCAAUCAAAAAGAUCUAAGCUGAGGGGGCCAUUUCAAACUUUCCUAUAGUGGAAGGGUUUCCAUACAUUUUUACCAUAAAAUAUUAAUAUUUCUAUUUUUUUUUUCCAAUUUUCUCAGCCUAUCUUUUUCCUUCCAAAGUACUCAAUUUACACCUCACUCAUUCUCUCUCCCUCUCUCUCUAUUCGCUCUUGGGCAACCUCUUUUCGCCAUCGAAACCCCCACAAAAGUGUGGAAACGAACGAACACCUUCGAUCCACGUUUAGGGUUUGCUCCUUUGGAUUCGUAAGAGUCGUAGUGGAUAACAUGGAGGAGCUCCAAAUCCUCGACUUGUUUAGGGGCUAAUCGCGGCGGGGCUUCGAUCUUCCAUGGCGAAGCGCGUGUACCAAGUUUGGAAAGGGAACAAUGUAAGAUUCUUGACGCAUUUUGAUGUUGAUGUUGAUGUUGUUGUUCUCUAGUUUUAGGUCGGAUUUGGUUAUAUUUGGAGACUAGGUUUAGUGGGGUUUUGUUCUUUUUAGGGUAGGAUUUGUGUUUGGUUUGUUUUAGAUUAGUGGGCUUUUUCAUAUAUGAUCACUAUUUGAUUACUUAAACCAAUUGGUUUGUUGGGGAUUUAACAGGUAUUAUGUUGUUUAAUUAGGGAUGUUUACUAUUAUUUAAUGUGUUAUGUCCUCUCAAUUGCACUAAUUGCAACUUCUAGGGUUCCCUUUGUACAUUUUUUUUGCUUUACCUAUCUGUUAUCUUGUUGAUUUUACAUAAAAUUUUUAUGAAUUUUGUUAUGGGCAUGUUCCUUUAAUGUUUAUAAUAAUAACUGAAGAAGAAGGAAAAAAGAAAUUGAGCCUCAUUAAGGUGGGUGUUAUUUUGCCACUUAUAGUUGGUAGUAUUUAUUGGUUUUGGCCUAUAUAGAGAUAUUUAACAAAUGUGCUUAUAAUCUCUCUCAAAAAAAAAAAAACAAAUGUGCUUAUAGGUUUUGACCUAUAUAUGAUUUUGCCACUUUUCUAGGUGUAGGGCUAAGCUAAUUGCUAAUCCAAUUUCAACUUAAUUACACUUUCUUAAUGCAUCUUUCCGUGAAAUACAUGCCUAGAAUUAAUUUUUUAUUACUGUAGUGUUUAUUUAAUCAGGGUUUUUCUGGUGAAGGUUAUAACCACAUUUCUUCUAGGAUCAGUCAUUGCAGAGGAUAUAAAAUAAUCGACAACAUUAUAGCGUCAUGCUCCUUUGGGGACCAUAUUAAUUUAUUUGAUCAUAUGGACAACUUUAUGAGGGCAUUAUAACCAACUUAAACUAUGCUAAUUAUGCUUCAUCUAGCCUUUAAAGCUUACCAUGCCAAGUAACUUCCUGGCCACUAUUUGCAUUAGCAGUGGAUCUUCUCAAUUUCGGUCACAAGUAAUGUAGGGUUUCCUUUACUAGAAAUCAAUUUUCCUAUUCUCAAAACUUAUUGUAUAUUCUCUGAUGGCACCAACAAGUUAAGCCUUAUUAAUAUAGGCCCAUCCAGUUAAGGAAUCUACAACAUUCUGCUUAUAUAAAACUUGUUGAUUAUCUAUAUAUGUGAAUGGCAACUUCUAUUGUAGUGUUGCCGGCAUUGCACUGCUAUGAUGUCUCAGCAAUGUGUGUGAGGCUUUGAUUGUGUCUUAUGUUCGGGAGUUUGGACUUUGGUGCCAUAAUCAUAUAUUUUGUAAUCAAAUUUUGCUAUCAUCUGGUGUCUAUAUUAGUAUUUUUUAUUCUGGAAAUUUUUUUACCAUAAUUAUAGUUAAGCUGAUAUAAAAAUCCUAAACAAGUUUUUAGCACCUGGGUUUAUCUAUCUAGGGGGCAUUUUGAUGAGCAGCUAUUGUUGCUAAUUAACUUCCGAUAAGUUGUUCUGCUUCUCUUCCAUUUCCUUGGCAUUUUCUAUAUAAUAGACAAUGAAGUAUUAUAGGAUUUGUAUUUUAUUUUUCUUUUGUUCACAUAUAUCCUAUGAAUGGAUUUUUAUACUGUACCAAAUAGGCAAGAUUAUGGAAAUAUCCAUGCAAUGUUAGUUUCAUGUAUGCUAAGGGUGGCUAUGCAAAAAAAAAAUCUGUUUUAGCAUAUAUAACCCUAGCAUGGCCAUGAAUGUAGAUAACUACAGUUUUAGGGACACAUGCAAACACCACCUUUGCAGGGGUACUCGUUCAAUUUUGUGUGUUUGCAGGUUGUAUUUAUGCAAAACUUAAUCUUAUAAUCUCUCUCUGAGCAAGAAGUCCAUUGAUAGUAUUAUGACUAAUCACGAGUUUCAAAACUUCAUUAUGUUUCACAAUAAUUUGAAAUUUUUACCCCUUCUCUUUUUCUUUCUUCUGCAGAGGUUUAUCUUUGGUGGCAGAUUGAUAUUUGGACCAGAUGCAAAAUCACUUUUUAUCACCAUUUCACUAAUUGUUGUUCCUGUUGUGAUCUUUUGUGUAUUUGUUGCAAGAAAUCUCCUUCACAAAUUUCCAGAAUAUGAUGCGGGAUAUGCUGUUCUGAUUGUUGCAAUAGCCUUUACAAUUCAUGUUAGUAGUCUUCUCCCAUUUAAACAUGUCGAUAAAUUCAUAGAAAUUGUUUCUUAUUAACUUAUUUUUUAUUGUUCUGUAUGAUUAGUUAAGCUACAAUAUUGUAUCUAUUGUUUUAUCUCAUUUGACUAAGAUGUUUAAAACUUAUUCAUAGGUUAUACUAAUACAAAUCUAGUCUCUGAAGUUUUACUCGUAGUUUUAACCAAUGUUCCAAAAAGAAGUCCUGUGGCCGUAUACGUGGCUCGGACCAUAAACCACACUGCAUAUGUCAUAUGUGGUGCAGUAUGCGAUCGGACAACAUAUGCGGCUCAUAUGCGGCCAUAUGCGGCAAGCGGUCGCAUAUGCAGUAAGUAUUUUGUUUUUAAGGUGGGAUUAAAAUAUAACAUUCAAUGAGAUUGUUUGAUUAAUAAUUAUACAUAUAUGUAUGACCAUUUCCAUACAGGUUUAAUUAAUAAUAAUGUAUAUAAAUGCAAUUAUCUUUAUAUAAAUAUAACCUAACUAUUUUUUCUUCUUAUUUUAGGUAUUAUUCCAAAUCUAUCUAAUAAUUAUGUUUAAAUAUUGAUGAAUAAUUUUGUUGUAUGUUCGAUGUUAUUAUAGUAAUUUUUUUUUAAGUGUUGGCCUCUCAAAUGAUGCGAAUGACAAUUUACUCAAAAAGUUAGUAUUCUUCAUAAAAGUUUAGCAUACUGCUUUUUAAAACAUUAAUUUUUGUUCGACAUUUUUAUGAUUUUGCAUCAAAAUUUUAUUUAUUUCUAUUUAAUAAUUAAGAGUAAAUUACUAAUUGUUAGUUUAGUGAUGCAUGUGUGCAUAUGAGCUCUUUUACUUGUAAUUAAUUAUUUUAAUUUGUGAAUUCUGAAUUGGUAUUUUGGUUAUUUAGCUUUGUUAGGAAGCAUUUAUAUAUGGUUUUAAUACCUACAAAUAAUUUUAUACAUGGACCACAUAUGCGGCUGGAUACUGCAUAUGCACUAUGUUAUAGGUAACUGCAUGGAUACUGCAUAACACUUUUUGGAACAUUGGUUUUAACUAUAACAAUGUUAUCCUUUAAGUUUGUAAUGCAUAACAAUUAAGUCCUUCUAUAACUAUACUGUCUGAAAAAAUGAACCAAUAAUUAGCAGCAUCAUUGGACUUAGUUUGGUUAAAAUAGAAGUUUUGGGAAAUAAUUUGAAAUGGGAGUCAAACCGAGGGAUUACAUGUAGAUUGGAACUGAGUUUGAUAUCAAAAUCGGAGUCAAAACACGUCGGAGAUUAAAUUUGUAAUUUUCCCAGAUAUUAUUGACUCAUUGUUGCCUUGUAUUUUCUUUCUUUUUUCCUUUUCCCUUUUUUUUUUUUUAUUAGUAACCUUGUUUUUGUACUCUAAAGCUGAUGGACAGCUAUCAUAAUAUAUAUUCUUUUGGCUGUUAUUUUAUUUGGCAAUAAAAGUGAAAUCUACCCUUGUUUUGUAUUAUUCUAGGUGCUGCUACUGCUUUUUCUUACUUCAUCUCGAGAUCCAGGUAUUGUACCUCGUGCAUCACAUCCACCAGAGGAAGAAUUUUCGUAUAAUACUUCAGCCCCAUCUGAGAUUGGUGGGAGGCGUACACCUGGUCUACAAUUUCCGCGAAUAAAGGAAGUAAUGGUUAAUGGUAUGCCUGUGAAAGUAAAGUACUGCGACACUUGCAUGGUCUACCGGCCUCCUCGUUGUUCUCAUUGCUCCAUAUGCAAUAACUGUGUGGAACGCUUUGAUCAUCAUUGCCCUUGGGUGGGACAAUGCAUUGGACAGGUGCACUACAUCAUUUUCUGCCUUUUAUGUAAGGAUUUUGCAUUUGUAUCCCCCACAAAAUAAUUUAUUUGUGUAAGUAGAUAAUCUUGCAGGAGUAUGCAUGUAAAUAUCUCUUUACUGUAGUCAUAGUAUGUGGAGUACUGGCUAUUAAUCUCCUGGAAAACUAGUAAGAUCGAGUCAUCCCGCAAUGUAAAUUACAUCUUGUUUUCCAGCAAGUAGCUUAUUAUGGUGAGAACACUAAGCUAUUUCCUUAAAUAGGUUUGGUUUUAGUUUUGGUUUAGCUUACUCAAAACAAUCUUUUGGUUUAGUUUUAUGCCAUUCAUUACUCAAGUCAAUCUUUUGGUUUAGUUUUAUGCCAUUCAUUCUUUAGAAGCAUUCAUUCUUACCCACUUUGGUCUAUUAGAUUUAAUAGACUGAUGUGCUUCACUUCUUAUACUUUUUCUUGUUUUUGUGCAGCGUAACUACCGCUUCUUUUUCUUAUUUGUUUCUUCGUCAGCUCUUCUCUGCAUUUAUGUGUUUGCAAUGUCGGCAUUAUACAUCAAGAUUCUCAUGGAUGAGGAUUAUCCUACUGUUUGGAAGGCAAUGAAAGAGUCUCCAGCAUCUGUGGUGCUAAUGAUAUACUGCUUCAUUUCUCUUUGGUUCGUGGGUGGUCUUACUGGUUUCCAUUUGUACCUCAUUGCCUCGAACCAGGUCCGCUUUCUUUAUGACAAAAAUAGAGUGAUUGUAUUUUCCCCCCCCUUUUUCUACUAAUUACUUUUUUGCUGAAUUGCUUUCCCUGUUCUUUGGGGUGAAUGUUCUCACAUGAAUGUGUAAUUUGGAUUUAUAAAGCCAAGCCAUGAUAAUUCUCGAGCCUUUUUAAUUAUGCACUGUUGUUUUUUCACUACGAAAAUUAUUUGGCACAGUGUUAUAUGUUGACAAAAUGGCCAAUAUAUUGUAGAUGCUUGAGGUGUGAUUAGGAUAUGAAAUAUAAGUUGGUACUAUUGUACCCGCUUACAUAAUAACCUGUUUCUAUGGUAAGUGAGCUUAUUUCUCUUAGUAUAACUGUAUUUGUAGAAGCUUUAGGAAAACUAGUUUCUGUGUUUUUUUGUUUUUUCUAAAAUAUUGAAUCAGACAAAUGAAAGAAAUGGUUCUGAAAUCCAUAUAGAUUUCUUAUUGUACAUGUCAUAUUAAAUUAAAAUUUUUGCAAGUAAUGCAAACUUAUUCAUUCCUCAAGUUUCCUGGUCAUAAUAAGUGAUUGUUUUGGUUUCCACAGACCACUUACGAGAACUUCCGGUACAGAACCGACAACCGUCAUAAUGUCUACAGUCGAGGUUGUCUUAAGAACUUUCUAGAAGUCUUUUGCUCCAAGAUAGAACCUUCUAGAAACAAGUUCCGUUCCUAUGUACAAGAGGAAGUCGCAAGGCCUUCUCCUUUCAUUCAGAAUAGGGAGAUGGUGGCAGAAGACGAACCCCCUCGAGGCCCACGUGCAAAGGUCGAAGACGAUCUCGAGAUUGGUGGUGAUCUUUUGAAGAUUUCACGCCGUCAUCACUUUGAGGAUGUGGAUGAAGAGCUCAAUAGCAGAGACAGAAUGGUCAACUUGGUAUCAGAUUCCGAUCUUUCUGUUAUGGAUACACAAGGUCCUGUUAAUAAAAGGGAGGAACGAAGAAGUGGAAGUUGGAAUAUCUUGCCCGAAGUUCUCAGUGCGAGCUCUUCACUUUCUGAAGCUGGAGUUGUGUCCAGAAAGGAAGAACUUAAUCAGCCGUAGAUAUAUUCUAAAACCAAUUCCAUAUCUUGUAUCCUUUUGAGGCGAGAAGAAAAGGCAAAUUUGAGGAGGAAGGAAUGAAGUACCAUGGAGGUUCUUCCACUCGACAGCCUUUUGAGCUCUGUAUGUGCUCUCGGUUUUCCAAGUUCGUAUUUGCGUUAGUUUCAAUUAAAGAAGCGGAGGAAUUUGAAAGCCAUGCCAAGUGCUCUCUUUUCUUUUAUCUUGAUGCUUGUGUUUGUAGUGUUUUUUUUUGCAGGUGUUUCACAAUUCUUUCUGUAAAGCCCUAUUGCAGGAUAUUCAGAAUGUUAUGUAUUCUUCUUCUUUUUCUUCAUCUUCUGUUGCUUCUUUUUUCCUCUGAUAUCAAAACAUGUCAUGUAUGUAUUUCUGCUCAUUUCAGUUAACAAGGAAGAAGCUUGUAGAUUGUUGAUUUUCCUUCGAAGGCAUCUUGAAUAGUUAUAUGUCUAUGCCCUGUCAGUUCUUUUUCGGAAGUUUAAUCUAAAUUUCCAUACUUAUAUCGUAAUACCGGAUAUAGUAACAAGUGAUCACUUUCAUAGAAGCUCAUCUAAAUUGUGCAUGGAUAUUGCGUUGCUUUUCUGCCCCACAACAUUGCAUGCCAGAUGUCUAUUGCGGGAAUGCUGUUUGUUGUCUUGCUCUCUUUCCUCUUCUUGUCCAUGAUCAUUCGGAAAAUUAGGAUGAAUAUCUAGGCCAAUGUAUUUUCUGACAUGUUUUGUAUAAGUUGCUGAUCUAUGUUGAUUUGCAGGGAAACUAUUCAUCUGAGUCAACUUGAUUGGUGUGUGAUGGCUCCUAACUAAUGUAAGUAAUGCACGUUUUGUGUUUUCGUUUUUGCUUCUCCUCCUCUUUUUUUUUUUUUUGGUAUUUGUGCUGUGUAUAAAUUUGCUUACUGGAUAAAAAAGUACUUAAUGAAAACGCACUAUGGUGCCUAAAUGUUGUGAUAGAAAACCCAUUGACUACUUUAUUCUAUCUGACUAAGACCCACAAUUUGCUGCAGUUGUUAUCAUGGAAGUAGUCGGCUGCCGUGACGAUGCCGCCCGACCCACUAUCCGACAUGUUACAGUUUUCAACGGGUUAUGUGCGCCUGAUCAUUCGAGGUGGACUUUCGCUGUAGCGGUCGGUUGACUUUGAAGGUAAGAAAUGUCUUAAGUCUGGUAUCUUCAGUUGACUUCAUUUUCAAACAAAAUUUGGAUACUUCGCCACUUGCUUUGUUGCGCGAAUUCAACUGUUAGUUAUUUGUUGGUUGUUUGCUACAGUGACGUAUUUAUUGGUGGAGUUAAUGGAUUCAAAGGUUUGACGUAUUUAUUUCAUUAGUCAAUACGUAUCCAUAGAGAGAGAUAUUAUAGUACCAAUGAUGUGAUAUAGUUUAAAUUGUUUGAUAGCAACAGUUGUGACCACAAAUUGCCAUUCCCAUACGUUACUCUCACUGAUCAUAUUUUUUGCAACUGGAUUCACGGAGUUGAGCUCACAAAAGAUUUUUUUUUUUUUUUGAAAAAAAGCUUUUUGUUGUUACCUUUGAUUGCUACAGCCACACAAUUUGGGGCUUGUUUGUUCCAAGCUUUUGCUCUGCUUCUCUUUAAGCUGUAGUUUUCUAAGAAAGAGUGUUUGGUGAUAAGAAAGGUCUACAUCUUCUAUCUCAGUUGAGAUUUGGAGAUGCAAAAAAAACAGAAGCUCCAGUUUAGUCCUGCUGAUUCGGAAUGUCAACUGGUCUGAUUCGGAUUCGAAGCGAAUUUUUAAGAACUCGAACCUUAACGCGAUGGGUUUUGAAAAUUCAUAUCCAAAUCCGAAUCCGACUGAAAAUCCAAAAAUCCAAAUCUGUACCGGAAAAAUACAAUUUGAAGUAAUUAUUUUUCUUUCUCAUAUUUCAAAACAUAUAAUAAUAAAAUUUAAAUUUUUAGAACACAAAUUUAAAUAUAGUAUCGAACAUUCAUGUAUAUGUGUGUGUGUGUGAGAGGCCACUAUAGUAUUGAAAUUAUAUACGUUUGCUUUUGGACCCUUGGAUAUCUAGGAUUUAUUAGUCGGUGGUGGUAACAGUAUGGAUCCAAGAGUCAAAAAGAUUGAAGUUGGUGCUUCCAAUAGUAUCGGAGCUCAACUUUAUAUAUAUUAUAUUGUAAAAUGUAUUCGGGUUUAGAAGGUUCCGGUUGAGUAUGGAUAAAAUUCAUAUCCUUGUACACAUCUGUCGGGUUUUCGUUCUUUAUACUUACAUUCGAAAUCAUGUUUAUUUAGCAUUAGAUAAAUCUGUCCCAUUCGGAUUCAGAUUCGGAUGAAAUUUUGAAUAUUCGUACCCAUUGACUUUCCUACUUCUCAUUCAGUUAUAAAUGAUUUGUUGUAGAGAGUUGUUAGUGUGGGGGAUUGAAAAUAAAGAGCCUUUCGAUGAGCACAGCAUUAUUGAGGAGCGCCUCAAUGAAAUCUUAUUAAGAUGGCUUUGUGAGCCGUAUGAUUCACUCUAUGCUCGAAUCUUAAAGCUAUGUUCUCCUAAAGUUCUCUUACAAGUAUUGUUUAUAAAUAACAGUAUUUUAUUAAAUAGGGGCAAUUUUAAAUAUAUCCCUCAAAAUUAUAAAAAUAUCACAAGUACUCUUUCAAAAUUAUCAAUAUCAAUAUUAUCCCCUAUAAUUCUAUAUGUUAUAUCAUAAAUGCUCUUUUGUUCAGUUUUUUAAGGUUUAAAUUACAAAAUAACCUAUUUACCCCUUAUAAUAGUUAAUUAUCAAUAAUUUAUAACUUUAAGUUUAAUUUAUAUCACUUAGAAUAGUAUUUUUAUUUCCCAGACACAAUAGUUCAUAUAAAAAUAAUCAAAUUAAACUAUAAAAAUAUACAUUUGAAAUAAAAGUAUAGCAAGAUAAAUCAAAGAUAAAAUAGAAAACUAUCAAACUAUAUAUAACAUAAUAUAAAGAUUUAAAAAGUAAUCAAAAUAAACUAUAAAAAGACAAAUAUGAAAAAAAAAAACUCAUAAUAAUAUAAACUGAAGCUAAAAUAAAGAAUUUUCAAACUGCAUCUACAACAAUCUAAAAAUCUUAAAAUAAAUCUAACCAAAAAAUAUCUAAUUCUUCCAUUUGUAAUUAAACAGAUAAAAUGGAUAUAUACUAAUUAAAUGAAAUAAAAUAAAAAUAUAUUAAACUAGUCAAAAUAAAGACAUAUUAAAAUAAUUAAAGUAAACUAGAAAAAUACUUAUAAUAAACACAUAGUAUCUUGGUAAUAAAAUAUGUAUUAUGACAGUUGUAAGAGUGAGAGGAGUAAUAGGGGUAUUUUAGCCAUAUUUUUUUUUUGAAAUACAGGUAAUAUGGAUAAUUUUGAUAAUUUUAUUAACUUUUAAGAUUAUUUUUGAUAUUUAAUUUUUGAAGGGUAUCUAUAUAAUUAGGGAUGGGUGAGAAGGUCCCUAUCAAAUUAACCCUAAAUGGUGUUGUGCCUUAUAACAAGAUUAAACAUACUUGAAGUAUAGGAUUGAAUUGGAGGGAGAGUUCACAAAUUUACACAUAAAAAAGGAGAAGGUCACAAGAAGCCCAAAUGUAAAAUGGUCCCUAAUGAAAUAAUAUAAUUUUUCUAAAAAAUUCAUAGGUUGAAUAAAUUUCAACAAAUAUUUUAUAUCUUUUCGGGAGGUAAACCAUUUCCCUAAAAAGUUUGAAAAAGAUGUUGUCAAAAAGUUGCACAUUGAAAAUUGAGCUUUGAACUCACACAGUCAAUUUUCAAGUACUUGGCAUGAUUGAGAAACAGAUUUUUUUCUUCUUUUUUUUUUUUAGCCUUUUAAAUUUUAAUGUUGGGUUAAUUGCACCGUUACUCCCAAUCUUUAUCUUAUUUUCAUUUUGAUUCUACUAUUUUUUUCCCCUUAUAUUUAGGUUCUUAAUCUUUAUUAUUUAUUUCAAUUAAAUCCCACCAUUGAAAAUGCCAUUAAUUAUAACAAAAACUGUCACGCCAAUAUUUAUCAUUUUAAUGUCGUACCAGUGUCAAAUUUUACUACACAGCAAUUUUUGCUAAAAUUAACAAUAUUUUUAACCAGAAGGGGCUAAAUAAAGAUAAAUAAUAAAAAUUAGGGACCUAGUUAUUUUUAAAAAAAAUUUGGGGAUCAAAACAAAAAAAAGAUAAAAGUUUGGGAGUAACAGAUCAAUUAAUCCUUUAUAUUAAUCUUUAUUUUUUUUUUUAUUCCUGUGUCUUUCAAAGUGUAAUGAUUCUUUUCCCUGCCGAAUAUGUGCCUAUUUCAAAGUGUUUGAUACGAUUCCCACAUCUUUCUCGAGCAAGCAAUAUUGACUAUGACAUUACCUUAGUUUUUUUUUUUAUUAAUAUAUAAACUUUUCUACUUAAUUUUUGUCCCAAUUUAGAAGCCCUAGAAACUUCCUCUUGUUUUUUAUACUUUUUUUUAACCGCAGUAAACUAUGUUUUUUUGAAUCAUUUUAUCUUGCCUUUUGUAGCAUCCAACUAAGUCAAAACUUAUGGCUUCGUGCAUAACACCUUUUCACGUGAUGGGUGCGUCUGGUUCGGAUUAUCUUAACAGGAUUACAGAUAAUUCUGCUAUGAUUACUAUAUUUGAUUCAUACAGUAAGUAAUCUUAUCAGUAAUAUAUAUAGUAUUACAAAUGGUGCAAGAUUAUACCGAAAAUAUUACCGAGCGGGGUGAGUAUCAUGUAUUACUGUUGGGGGUUAUCUUGCAUU